CGGCCUUCUCCCGGGUGACCUUGCCGUGGCUGACGAGCACGGCGAGCACCUCGGUGAGCGUCAUGAGCGAGUGCAGCGUGACCCCGUUCGCCGCGAGGUUCUCCCUCCCGCCCUGCUCGCGGUCGACGACGACGACGGCGUCGGCGACGACGAGCCCCUCGUCCCGGAGCGGCGCGACGGUCUCGAGCACGGAGGCGCCGCUGGUGACGAGGUCCUCGACGAUGAGCACGGUGUCCCCGGCGCGGAAGGAGCCCUGGGUGCGCAUGGCGGGAGGGGCGCCGGCGCCGGUCUCGUGGUAGCGGCGGAGGAUCAUGGGGAUGCUGCGGGCGACGGAGAGCACGGAGGCGAAGGGGAGGGCCGUGUAGGGGACGCCGCAGAGGAGGCCGUAGGGGCGCGUGGAGGGGAGGGAGCCGAGGAGCGCGGCGACGCGGGAGAGGAGGCGCGGGUGGGAGACGAGCACGCGCAGGUCGAGGUAGAUCGGGGAGGUGAUGCCGGACUUGAGCACGAAGGCGCCGAACUUGUAGGCCUCCACCGCGUGCAGCUCCAGGAUGAGGGACUCCAUCGCGGCGGCGUCCAUGGCGAGGACCGGCGACGGCGAGGUAGGGAGCGUGGUGUGGUGUAGUGGGAGGAGGGAGGAGACGGAGGAGCGAGCGAACCUCUGGCAGUGUGCAGUGUAUGUACCACUGGCGCUGGGGGGUAGUGUUGACUAAAGCGUGACUUUUCCAUAUGAGGAGAGGAUGAGGCGUGCUGGAGAAGGCGCCGCCGUCACGUCAGCGCGAACGUGGCACCGGCUGAGGAUUGAUACGGUGGGGUCGGGGGGCGCGGCGGCUAGAGCCGGCAGAUUCGCUUUUUUUCCUUUUUAUUUAUUUUCAACCAUAACAGUACAACAAACAUUAGAAAUAAUAAAAUUAUAUCCAAAUUCAUAUACCACCUAGUGACGACUACAAACACUAAAGGAGACGAAAGCGCAUCGCCGUCAUCGCCCCUCCCUCCCUAAAGCCGGGCAAAACUUGUUAUAGUAGACAGUCUGGAAGUCGUCGUGCUAAGUCCCCAUAGAAUCAGCACAGCAGAACAACAACCGUAGCGGAUGAAGAGUAGUGUAUAUUGGAAGAAUCCAACCUGAAGACGCACCAAUGUAGAUGAACUACGACCAGAUCCGAGCAAAUCCACCAAGGACAGAUCCGCCGGAGACACACCACCACACGCCCACCAACUAUGCUAGACACACCACCGGGAUGGGGGCUAGGCGGGGAGAACCUUAUUCCAUCUUCAGGGAGCCACCACCGUCUCGUCUUCCUGAACAGGACACAAACCCUAACAAUACUCUAGGCGGGGAUAACCUUAUUUCAUCUUCAGAAGUCAUCACCGUCUCGUCUUCCUGAGCAGCACACAAACCCUAACAAUACUCCAAGGAAUAUCUAAAAACAGAACCCUCUAGCCUGCAAGGGCUGGGAUACAUUGCGCCGCCAUGGCCCUAAGGCUACCGAUUUGAUUCAAGGCCAGCACUCCACAAACUAGCUACUUUUGAAAAAAUAUUUGCUUUUUUAUAUGCCAAAAAAUGUUAAAAAUAUUGCACAUAUACUCUCUCUCCGUCACAGCAACACUUAUUUUGGAAUGGGCGGAUACUUUAUACGGAGGUGUAGUAUGUGCUGGUGAAUUUCUUUAAUGUAUAUUUUUGUAUGUGGUGUACACAAAAAAAAUAUGGGCUUACUUUUUUCUUUUUUUGCCACAAAUAUAUUUCUUUGGCCCACAAAUCGGAAAACGUAUUAUUUAAUAAAAAUGUGAAGAUAUAUAGAGAACACAUUUAUUUGUCUGUUCUAGCUCCCAUAAUUAGAUGUGAUAUACACUCGUUAUUACACCGUUUUCAUUCCAAAUAAACUGAAUGUAUAAUCUUGUCUCAAGUCAAAUUUCUCUAUAUUUGACAAAAAUUUAUAGAGAAAUAUGUUAAUAUUUGCCAUGCACAAAUACUUUUUUUAAUGGUGAACAUGAUAAAACUAAGUAGGUUGUUGUAGAUGUCUGAUAUAAUGUCCUGCUCGCACCGAUCCAUAUUAAUUAUUGCUGACUUAGUACAAAUUAAGUACAAUUAAUAUAAAUCUAAGAGAGUAAUAAAGUUUUACUUUAAGACACAAUCAAAAAAAGGUUUUGGGUUAAUGGAAAACUAGGAGCCUGUUCGGACUCCCUCCGGCUCCGCGACUCUGUUCCGGAGCGGAGCGGCAGCUAGUUCUAAUUUAUGGAGUGGCUAAAAGAAUGCUCCGCCCGCUCCGCUCCGUGACCGAGGAGUGGAGGGCUGCCGAACACAGCCUAGAACUCGAGUUAAUUCAUAACAAAAGGAGUAACAAACAACGGCCAGCAACUCCCUUCGCUGGAUUUUUUGCACGGUCAGACAAAGACACGACAGAUGCUCCUGAGCAGAGCACAAUGGAUGGUCUUCAUAUCUUCAGAAAAUAAUUUCGAAAUGGAGAUGCAGAGAGCCAAUAAUAUACCAGCAAAAUUACUUGUUAGUCAUGCAUGUUUCCAGCAAAAUUCAGAAACUAAUCCCAAAGAAAACAAAAGGCAAAUGCGCGUUCAUUUUAAACCCCAGGAUAACUAGGAAGCAUUCAUGUCAAUGCUACACCACUCCUGCAACUAAACAGUUAUAGGUUUACUGGAAACGAUCUAGCCGCCUCACCAUUAAGGGGCCAAAAUAACAUCAUGUCCAAUAAGUACGUACUCCCAGCAGCUUCAGCGUGUGAUGUCCUCCACUUGAGUACUUCCAGCAUCUUCUUCGGCGCGCUUCCUCUUGAGCUUGCUCCCGUCCAGUCGCCAUUGGUUCUGGACGUACGCGACGACUUCUUCCAGGGUCGCUUUCCGGUCCUCCUUGUAGUUCCACAGCUCGCUGAAAGGAUAGCGGCUACUGGGAUUGUGCUCGUUGAUUUCGAGCAGAGCCUUUGUCACCAAGUCACAGAUCUGCUCCCCGUGUUCUUCUUUCAGAGCCCGGAGCUUCUCGUCGUCCUCACAGAGAAUUUCCUACAGCAGAGCACGUACUGUUAGACGGACGGCAUUUUCUCCAAGCCAAACAAACUAUUAUUCACAGCUUCAAAGCCUGCAUUUCAUGGAUAUGCCAAGCUUGCUGUUACAUGCGUGUUAUGAUUAACUUAAGAUACGGAUACUCCAUUAGUAUAUAUGGUCAUAUAUCAUUGCAGAGAGUUAUGUCAAAUUUACACAACGAGUGUUCCAAGUAGGUGGUAGGUGUGAAUUACAGAAUGUUCAGGAAAAACAACUCUUCCACAUGGUGGCAGAGCUUCACAGACGACGUAUAUGUCAUGAAUUUCAGAAGCCUACCAGGAUAUACCCAAUUAGCCUAGCAUUGGAUCUAGAAUGGGAAGUAACAGUAAUAUUGUGCAACAUUUUUUUGUCGUCUAAGCAAGCCCAAGCAGUGAAAACAAUUCACAUUCCUGAUUCAGUUGACUAGCGUGCAUUUUUAAACGGUCGACAUCCCAACAUAUAACUCUGAGCAAACGGUAGAUAACUGACAUAUAACCUUUUUGAAGAAAAAAAAUAGUAUAGAGUUGACCAUAUCAGAGGAAAUCGACAAUUAGAAGAAUCCAACACUUGAAUAUAGAGCAAAUCACUAUUUAUUCAAUAAGAUUCUGUAGAUUCUGACCCAGAGCAGCUACCUAACACACUAACAUAAGUUCUAGCCCUCAAGGACAAACCUGGAAUUGCUCCACAAAUUAUAUUUUUUGAAAAUCACACCACAUUUUUAUUAUGUGUCUUAGGUAACAUAUAUACGUCUAAAUAGACAGACUCAGUAAUCAAGCAUCCAUGGAAUAAAAUUAACUAUUGUACUUAAAAGGGAAUUAAAUGUUUCAGUGUUAUAUAAACUAAACCAAUCUAUUAAACAAUUCAUUGUAAAAUCUGCAUGUGGUAAAGAACAUUUGGAGCAUACCAUGAAAAAAAGAUUACUCUCUGCUAUUUUGUUCCUUUUGGUAAGAAAAUCUGGGAGAGUAAAUUAAACUAAGCACCUCUAAUUUCCACCAUUAGUUCAUUAAGAAAUACAUGUACUACAGAAAUGCUUGCAAAGCCGAAAGUCUACCAUGAAACCACUGACACACGAUAUUAGAGAAAGCAAAUUGUGAAGUAGCAACAGUAAAGAGAUAUAUACCAUUUCUUUUCCAUCAACCAUGAUAGCUUUAAAAGGGUGCCAUUUUGGAUUUCUUAUCUCAUUCUCCCAUUUUUCACAAAAUAAGGCAGCAUGAUAACUUGAUUCAGCAGGUUCUGACAAUUUCUGGUUGAAAGCUUUUUCAAGUGAUUCCAGGUUAAGCAUGCCCAUCUUUUUGAUGCCUAUAGAUGUUCGGUCAGUUGUAAGAUCCUGGAAGCCCUGUAGAGCAUGCAACAGGUCAGAAGGAGAAUGGAUUUCAGCUGUUAUGCAAAAUCAUCAACAGUAACACAUCGCCAUCUCAUGGACAGGUGCUCAGUCAAUGAGGUAACUUACACGUAUCAGUGCCUUCCGAGCAAGCUGUAACUCAUCAUUGGAUUGUCUUUCCUUGGUAAUCAAAGUCCGAACAAUUGAUUCCACUCUGUCAUAUUUGUCUUGCAGCUCCUCACUCUGUUCAGCCAUUUUCUUCUUUGAUUCAGAGUCUUCACCUUGCAUAGGUUUCACUGCUUCCAAUUUGCUCUGCAGCUGCUUUGUUUCCAACUCAAGCUUCUGCUUGGCAUUCAGUUCCUGAUCUAACAUGUGAAAUAAUAGAGCGACUUGUUUCUCCCUCUACAUUAACAGUACAGAGAAACACUCAGAUCACUAAGCUUCUCAAAACAAAAAUUGGAAAAACAAGUUAUGAUCCUUCUUUACGUAUUAUUCAAUAACAGAAUAUCAGAUGAAAACUAAAACAGGGGGGAAAGAAAACCAGUAAUAAGCAGUUAAGCAGAAUGCUGGUAUGCAAAAAAAGCAAAUAGCAAUCAAACACCCUACUCAGACCCCCAAAAAGAGAGAAAGAAGAGAAAAAAAACUACCAUAAUUCCAGGAGAUAUUCAAUACAAAAUGCAAGGUAUCCACACCUGUUCUUUCUCUUCCUCAUACUUCCUUUCUUGGGAGAUACUUUUUGAAGCUAGUUCAUCCAGCUUCUUGGAUGCUAAGUCAAGAUCAAAUAUCUUGCACUUCAGUUCCAAACGAAGCCUUUUAUUCUUAUCACGAAUCCUCUCAUAACAUCUACGAGCAAGCUCGUGAGUCUUGUGAAAUACUUAUACAAGCGUUCAUUUUGAAAGACGAUUAAACACGUGAAAGCUCAAAGUGUGAGCACUGAGAUGCAUACAUGCAUAUAACCAAACCAUAUCAGUUCAUAUAAUGGUGUAAAUAGCAAAAGAUCAUCCCAAACCUUCGGCGUAGAACUCCUGCGUUUGCUCCGACAUCCUGUCAACACGUUAAAUAUGAUUAUUGUUUUUUUUUGACGAAAAAAGUGCGCGCUGAUUUCAUUUUAUUAAUAGAAAGGCCGAGAAGGCCGAGUUACAGGUUUACAUAGACGAAGUUAGAUAUAUACAUCUAAACUGCAGUUUUUGUCUACAUUCGUGAUGCCGCCCUCCGCCAUCGCUAAUAGUACCACCAGCAACAGAAGAUGAUUGCACCGCCGCCUGAAUCCUGACCACCGCCGCCUGAACCCAAGUAAACCGCGGGUCUUUUAUUUUUUCUCCUUCUGUUUUCUUUUUUUCUUAGAUUUUCUUUAUUUCUACAUCGGUUUACUUUGGUUUUUUACUUUUUCAUUGGUUUUCUUUGUUAUACUUCAGUUUCUAUAUUUUAACAGGUUUCUUUGUGUUUCUUUUUUUUCGUUUACUUGGGUUCCAUUUUUUUCUUAUUUUUUUGUUUCUUCAUUUUUCAGUUACAUGUCCUACAUUUUUAUUAUACUCCCUCCGUCCCAUAAUAUAAGAGCGUUUUUUACACUAGUGGGAGUACAUGUUAGUGAACACUUUUUCAAAUACACAGUCAACAUUUUCUAAAUACAUGUUAAUCAUUUUCUUAAUAUAUGGUAAACAUUUUUUUUGAAUGCUUGCUCACUGUUUUUUCAAAUUCUUGAUUAAUUUUUUAAAUACAUGAUCAAAAUAUUCAUCAUUUUUUAAUGCAAGGUCAAUAUUUUUUGUAUACUCAUUUAACAUUUGUCAAAUGCUUGAUCAAUAUUUUUCAAAUACUCGCUCAACAUUUUUUCAAAAUAUUUUAUUAACAUUUUUAUAAACAUGAUAAAAAUAUUUUCAUUAUUUUUUUAAUACGGUCAAUAUUUUUUGUAUAUAUAUUUAACAUUUUUCAAAUGCUUGAUCAAGGUAUUCCAAAUACGUGCUCCACAUUUUGUCAAAAGCUUGAUUAACAUUUUUUUCAUAGAAUGAUCAAAACAUUUAAUAAAUUUUUAAUACAUGUUCAACCCUUUUUUUCUCUAUACACAUCUAACAUUUUGUGAAUGCUUGAUCAACAUUUUUCAAAUAAUCGUUCAAUUUUUGUUUCAAAUGUNNNNNNNNNNNNNNNNNNNNNNNNNNNNNNNNNNNNNNNNNNNNNNNNNNNNNNNNNNNNNNNNNNNNNNNNNNNNNNNNNNNNNNNNNNNNNNNNNNNNNNNNNNNNNNNNNNNNNNNNNNNNNNNNNNNNNNNNNNNNNNNNNNNNNNNNNNNNNNNNNNNNNNNNNNNNNNNNNNNNNNNNNNNNNNNNNNNNNNNNNNNNNNNNNNNNNNNNNNNNNNNNNNNNNNNNNNNNNNNNNNNNNNNNNNNNNNNNNNNNNNNNNNNNNNNNNNNNNNNNNNNNNNNNNNNNNNNNNNNNNNNNNNNNNNNNNNNNNNNNNNNNNNNNNNNNNNNNNNNNNNNNNNNNNNNNNNNNNNNNNNNNNNNNNNNNNNNNNNNNNNNNNNNNNNNNNNNNNNNNNNNNNNNNNNNNNNNNNNNNNNNNNNNNNNNNNNNNNNNNNNNNNNNNNNNNNNNNNNNNNNNNNNNNNNNNNNNNNNNNNNNNNNNNNNNNNNNNNNNNNNNNNNNNNNNNNNNNNNNNNNNNNNNNNNNNNNNNNNNNNNNNNNNNNNNNNNNNNNNNNNNNNNNNNNNNNNNNNNNNNNNNNNNNNNNNNNNNNNNNNNNNNNNNNNNNNNNNUUCAAAUACUCGCUCAACAUUUUUUCCAAAUGUUUCAUUAACAUUUUUAUAGACAUGUUCAAAAUAUUUUUAUUAUUUUUUAAUAUAUGGUCAGCAUUUUUUCUAUAUACCUUUAACAUUUUUCAUAUGCUUGAUCAAUAUUUUCCAAAUACUUUCUCCACAUUUUGUCAAAAGCUUGAUUAACAUUUUUAUAUAGAAUGAUAAAAACAUUUCAUCAUUUUUUAAUACAUGGUCAACCCUUUUUUCUAUACACAUUUAAUUUUUCAAAUGCUUGAUUAACAUUUUCUAAAUAUUUGUUCGACAUUUUUUAAAAUGCUUGAUUAGCAUUUUUAUAUACAUGAUCAACUUUUUUUCAUCAUUUUUGCCAUUUGCUUAUUUGAAAAGAACAUGGGCUGAUUUUGUUUCUGAACUUAGCACACUGAUUACUUCAUAGAUUAGAACUAAAAAUUGAAAAUAAUAUCUCUGAGGGAAGUGAUGUGUGUUGCAUUUUUUCCUUGCUUCUUAUCUAUGUCUUCAAGUUAUUGAUUACACUACCGGAUAGAUGGUUCAUUAGAAUGUUUAUAUGAAGUAUGCCCAUAAUUCUUUGUUGUUUAUUUUAUUGGAAAAAGGGUAAUGCAUCAUGGAAUUGUGGUCAAACAAGAUUUCUUGUACCAAUGAUGAAACAACAUGUGGAUGCCUCCUAAUGGGCGAAGUUCUGUGGUCAAAAUGGAUGGACAAAGGAGUUGCAUCAUCUAAAGCAGAAGUGGGAUGCAAAUCAAAACCUAUAUCUCAGGUACCUAUAACACUUUGGUAGUACCUCUCCCAUUAUUUAUUUAUGCAUUACUUAUUUACGAUGAGGGAGUACAAAGCGGGCCAAAACCUCUUUAAGAAUGUAUCUACCUGAUAUGUUUCUGGCCAUCCCUUUAUUUUUCCAAUAGUAGUUCUCAUNNNNNNNNNNNNNNNNNNNNNNNNNNNNNNNNNNNNNNNNNNNNNNNNNNNNNNNNNNNNNNNNNNNNNNNNNNNNNNNNNNNNNNNNNNNNNNNNNNNNNNNNNNNNNNNNNNNNNNNNNNNNNNNNNNNNNNNNNNNNNNNNNNNNNNNNNNNNNNNNNNNNNNNNNAUGAUGGUGCUAUAGACAACCACGUCAGCAAUGGCGACACUAUAUGCAGCAAUGAUGAUGAGAACAUCGGUGGUAGUCUAGAUGAGAUAGAAACUUAUGAGCUGAUAUGUAUGUAGGUGAUGGAUAAAAAUUUAGAGAGGGAAAGGCAUGUAUGUGUACAACUAUUAUGUUAUUGCCUUUGAGCAAGUAAACUUUUCACAUGUCAAUUACCAGAUAUCUGAUCAUGGAUUGAUAUGUGCUAUGUAUACACUGAUUUUGGAUGCAUGCGCAGAGGAAUGAUGUGGAUCAUGGUUCAACUUGAUCAUUUAUACAAAUAUUCUGGAAUUGUUCAAUACAGCAUGCAAAAUAUUUUCCCUUUUUCCCCGAGUGUCAACCACGUAAGGAAAAAGCAUGUUUCCCUGUCGGCUGGCUGUUACAAAAAUUUGGUUCCUAAACCUGACGAAUCAAGAUAUUCCUGAGGGUGGCCGAAAGGAAUAACCGUCAGAAAAGUAUUUACUGUCAGGCAUUAGUGAAUUUCCCUGUCAUUUUAUUCUUAAUGAGUUUUGCAUGUAGGUCAGCCGACAGGAAAUAUUUUCCUGACGGUAAUUGUCAUUUUCCUGUGGGUUUUUGGCCAUCCGGAAAAGUGUUGUUUGUGGUAGUGAUGGUUGCAUGAAUAGAGUAGUUCACAAAUUUUAACUUAUGACCACAUGCAUGCCUUGAUGAUGUGGCAUAGUUGCAUGAAGAGAAAAAAUAGGUAGUGGAUUGCAACUAUUUAAGAAUAGAGGAUAGGAUGAGAUGCACUUGUUCAUUUUGUCUUAGAAUGCUUAACGAUGUGUCAAUUUGCUUUGUAAGAAUAAUAUCUGGUAGCUUUUCAGUAUCGCACACCCAGCAACUCCAAAUUCUCCUUGUGUAGCGACAGCCAAAUAUAUAGUAAAAUAAUGCAGUACAUCUUUCCUAUUCUGAGAAACUUUUGCACAAUAUUAUUUUGAGUAUGAUCCAGUUCGAGUCUAUCUUGUUCAAUGCUGAGACGCAACGCAAAGUUACGGUUUCAGGUUUAAAAAGGGCUGGAGUUGAGACUUGGGACGCAACGUACUUAUUAGCCAACAGAAUCCAGUAAUUCUGUCAGGCAUGCAUUCCUUGUUUGCUGUUUGCUUGACUGAAUUGACUCUUCCAUAUAGAUGGCAUGCACUACUGACUGUGAAGCACUGAAGGGAGCUAUCUUAUGCAAGAAAGGUGGUGGUCAGGAUUCAGGCGGCGGUGCGACCAUCUUCUGUUGCUGGUGGUACUGGUAGCGACGGCGGAGGGCGGCAUCACCGGGGUCAGAGUCGUCGGCGCAGCAGUAGCAGCCCAUGCCGCGCAAGGGGGUGCAGCGGCCGUGGACGAAGCCCCAGUUCUUGCAGCAGCGCAUGCACUUGCCGGACUUGUAGCACUUCUCGAUGCACAGGGGCCAGUAGAUCUUGCACACCAGCUUCGCCCCAACCUCCUCCACCAUCUCACCUAAUUUCACACAAAAUUAUACAUGAGAUUCACAACAAACUUGAACCAAAUGCACAAAUGUUUUUAGAAAAAUUUAUGCAUCUAGGAGAGAUUUUGACUUACAGCAGGUGAUGAGGAGGAUUGCCAGGAACAAUGACAAUGGGGCAAGCUUCUUUUUUUUGGAACGAAGGCUCGCGAAGAGCCCAGCUUUGAAUUAACAAAGCCAUCAACCGGCCAGGAGUUACAACAAACAACCACAUAACAGCGGUCAGAACGAUACAAUGGGGAACACUGGACUGAAACGCUGACUACAACCUCCACAAGCAGCUAAUGAAAAGGAAAUUAAGAUUACAGUUUGCAGAGGCCGAGCACUCCACACUAGGAUCAUAUGUAGUAAAGCAGAGCAGGACAUAGCCGACCUUCGAAGAUGGCCAUGCUCCAGGAACACCUAGAGAAGAAGGGGAACAACAUCUUCCAUCUCUAUCACCGAAGAGGGACCCUACCCCCUCGCCAUGGCUCGUAGGCGCCGCACCGUCGGGAUUUAGAGAAGCUCACCCUAGAGCUAGAAGAAUGCCGCCCUCACAACGAAAGGUGGACAUAGUGCGGCCACUUCGAUUUGGGAUACCCCUAGCCGGCCGCUCCGCCGCGGUCCAUGUCCAACUAGGUGGAGAAAAGCUUCGUGGAAUCGGACGCUGAAAAGGAGGCAGCUCAAUCCCUCACCCACAGCGCCUCCCGACCGCAUCCCGCCUCCCUAACGGCGCCUCCAGCAAGGUCACGACGCGCAAGGCGCCGCCGCCAAAUCCGAGAGGAUAUAAGGUUUUCACCCGGGCAAGGUGGGUCGGGGUGGAAAACAGGGGACCUCGGCUGCGCCCCCAUGGAGGAAAGCAGCGCCCUUGGGCGUUGCCGCCGCCGGACCGGCCGGACCGGCCAAGGUUUCCCCCGGUCCCCUAGCUGGCCACCAACACGCACCAACGCCGGGGCCAGAGAGGAAUCACUAGCCACCGCCGACGGCGAGAGAGAGGUGGCAGGGAGAGGGAUUUCGAACCUCCAGAUCUGACGAAGAAACUUCGCGCCGCGGCCGGAUUCCACCAACCACCCGCCGCCCGCGCGGCCAGGCACGCUGGCCAGCACCCCUGCGAACGCCGCCCACCGCCCGACGGCGCCGCCUCUCCGGUUGGGGCCGCCGCCCCAGGAACCGCAGGCCUCCGAGAGGGGAUGGAGCGCCGAGAUCCCCGCCGCCACCUUCACCGACGCCCGCACGGGCUUCCCGGCGGCCGUCUCCGGUAGCGGCGAGGGGAUGAAGGGAGAGGAGGGGGGGUGGCGGCGGCCGCGGAACCCUAGUCGCCCCCGAGUCGCCCAGGGGGGCGACGCGAGGGCCGGGAGGGGGGGGACCAUGUUCAAAUUGUGCACCAGGGUAACUUGUAGUUUCGCCCCUCUGGGGCAAGCUUCUUCUUGCCCAUCUUCUCCGGUCUCCACUGCUACCGUUCUCGUUAGAUAUGUGAUUUGGUUGGACGUUUUGGAGACUAAAGUUGGGUGGUAUUUAUACACCAAGGAGGAAGAGAGGAUGCUACAUGACGAGGAAAAGGUAGUGUAAAUUGUGUGAAAUGAAGAAGCGCAGAGAAUGAUCCAGUCUUCAGAUUUCAGACAACCGGUACAGGACCCGAGAUUAUCUAUCUAUCUAUCUAUCUCUCUCUCUCUCUCUCUCUCUCUCUCUCUCUCUCUAUCUCUAGCUGUUGAUUUUAGUUAUACAUAUACUGAAACUUAAACCCAAACACUAAAAAGUGCAUGGAGGCUCGUUGUCAUUUUCGAGUGCACGAUCCCUGACCUUAGAUGGAGCUAAUCACGACCGAUCGCGUGGAGCGUUCCGACUAAAGACAAUUGUUGGACCCCACACACACAUGGGCAGCGGAGACCCUAUUUUUUGAAUACCAGGAGUCGUCACUGCUAAAAUGCACACAUCAGCAAAAACAAACAACAGUAAAAUAAAAGACCAAAAACAAGACUCAAGAAUCUAACUUCUUAAUUAUAUCACUAGUGGUUUUGAAUGCUUGGGUUGAGUGGUAUUUAAACACCUAGAAGGAGUAGGAAGAGAGCAUAAGUAUAGGACGAGGACAUAGAAGGGUAAUUUUUUGAGACCGUCUCGAUAAACGGUUCAGAACUCUUUAGAUUUGGAAUGCCAAAGAUGAGAUACAGACCAAGCUUCAAAGUUUUUUUUUUCAAAAAGGGGGAUCCCCGGCCUCUGCAUCAGAACGAUGCAUACGACCACCUUUAUUACCAAGCAAAAUAGUUCAACAACAGUCUUAAAGUCUCAACAAAGUACAAAAAAUGCUCACACAGAGCACAAGAACAAAGAUCAAACCACAACCGGCUAGCAAGGUAAAGAUAGGAAAACUAAUUGCCUAUCCUAUUAUAUGACCGCCAUCUAAACCGGUUGAAAAUAUCCCGUGCUACCAUCUCCCAUCGGAUAUAUUCAGUAACCAAACGCUCCCUGGCCUCCGUCGGAGUGAGUAGCGACCACAUACAGAUCAACGCCGUAGCUCGGAAGAUAACCUGUAAAAAAGAGUGUUUGUUAUUCUGUUAAAGACCAAAUCAUUUUUGUAAUUCCAGAUAGCCCAUACUAAAGCACAUACUCCUACGUGAAUGUGUCUCGCUGUUUGGAGCUCAACCCCAUCAAGCCACGUCCCAAAUAACGUGUUGAUAUUAUUCGGCGGAGUAAUAUUAAAGGCUAUGUGCACAGACUGCCAAAGAAUUUUUGCCAAGGGACAAUCACGAAAGAGGUGUUUGAUGGAUUCAUCUCGAUCACAAAAGCUACAUCUAGUGGAUCCAUUCCAGUUGCGUUUUAUCAAGUUAUCCUUAGUUAAAAUGACUUGUUUGUGUACAAACCACAUAAACACUUUAACUUUCAAGGGAACUUUGACAUGUCAAACAUGUUUCGAAUUAGGAAUAGAGCUAGAAUUAAUAACAUCCAAAUACAUGGAUUUAACCGUAAACUCUCCAUUCCUAUUUAGCUUCCAACACAACUGAUCGGGUCGUUGAGUUAGUUGAACAUCCAUCAAUCUUCUCACAAGAUGGAGCCAGGCUUCCCAACGGUUUCCGGCUAGCGCUCUCCUGAAGUGAAUAUUAAGAGGCGUUGACUCACAUACUGUCUGAACGGUUGCAUCUCUCUAUUGAACAAUGCUAUAGAGAUAAGGAUAUUGAAGCACGAGGGGCGUAUCUCCUAGCCACGUAUCCUCCCAGAAUCUCGUAGAAGUACCGUUCCCAAUAAAAAACUUCGUCCGAUUAAAAAAGACUGAUUUAACUCUCAUCAGUCCUUUCCAGAAAGGCGAGUCCAUUGGCCUCACUGUCACCUGGGAUAAAGUUUUGGAAUGAAGGUACUUAUUAUGCAGAAUCUGUGCCCAUGUAGCCCCGGUCUCACUAGAUAGCUUAUACAUCCACUUGUUGAGAAGACAUUUGUUCUUGACCUCAAGAUUUUCGAUCCCGAGACCCCCUUGGUCCUUUGGUCGACAAAUAAUGUCCCAUUUAGUAAGUCUAUACUUCCUCUUGAGAUCAUCACUUUGCCAGAAGAAGCGGGAGCGAUAGAAAUCAAGUCUUUUCCGAACUCCAACUAGAACCUCGAAAUAAGACAGAAGAAACAUGGGCAUGCUUGUGAGAACCGAAUUAAUGAGAAUUAAACGGCCUCCAUAUGACAUCAGUUUGCCAUUCCAGCAUCCCAGCUUCUUCUCAAAACGAUCCUCAAUGCUUUUCCAUUCUCUGUUUGUUAGCUUACGAUGGUGAAUUGGUAUACCCAAAUAAGUGAAAGGUAAAGCCCCAAUUCACAUCCGAACAAUUGCUUACAUGCCUCUUGUUCCUCAUCGGCUCUUCCAAAACAGAACAAUUCGCUCUUGUGGAAAUUAAUCUUUAAUCCGGUCAAUUGUUCAAAUAAGCAUAACACUAGCUUCAUGUUUCUCGCUUUUGCCAAGUCAUGCUCCAUAAAGAUGAUAGUAGCAUUGGCGUACUGUAGGACAGAUACACCUCCAUCAACUAGAUGAGGUACCAGACUGCCUACUUGACCAGCAUCCUUGGCCCUUCCUAUUAGAAUCGUCAACAUGUCAACUACAAUUUUGAACAGAAUAGGUGACAUCAGAUCUCCUUGUCGCAUGCCUUUAUGCGUUUGAAAAUAGUGACCUAUGACAUCAUUUACUCUAAUUCCAACACUCCCUUUUUGCGUGAAAGACUCUACCUGUUGUCUCCAGGCUUGAUCAAAACCUUUCAUACGCAAGGACUGUUGAAGAAAUGGCCAUUUGACUUUGUCGUACGCCUUUUUGAAAUCCACUUUGAAAACAACCCUGUCUAGUUUUUUCGUAUGAAUUUCAUGGAGCGUUUCAUGAAGGACCACAACCCCUUCUAGGAUGUUUCUGUCCGGCAUGAAAGCAGUUUGGGACGGCUGUACCACAGAGUGCGCAAUCUGCGUGAGUCUAUUUGUCCCAACCUUGGUGAAGAUUUUGAAACUUACAUUAAGAAGGCAGAUUGGCCCGAACUGCUCAAUUCGCACGGCCUCUGUUUUCUUAGGAAGCAAAGUAAUAGUUCCAAAAUUCAGAUGAAACAACUGAAGCUGUCCAGAGAAUAAAUCAUGGAACAUCGGCAGCAAAUCCCCCUUAAUAAUAUGCCAACAUUUUUUAUAAAGCUCCGCUGGGAAUCCAUCCGGCCCCGGAGCUUUAUUGUUCUUCAUCUGAGAAAUAGCUUCAAACACCUCUUUCUCAGAGAACGGUGCAGUCAAAAUUUCGUUCUCAUCCGCAGCUAGUCGAGGGACAUCCUCUAUCCUCGACUCAUCCAGGGACACAAAAUUAUCCUCCGGCGGCCUAAAAAGCUGCUUAUAGUAAUUGGUAAUAUAUAAUUUUAGGUUUUCCUGCCCUAAGAUCAUCCCCUCAUCUUGCUCAAGCUGAAAGAUUCUUUUCUUUCUGUGCUUGCCGUUAGCUAUCAUAUGAAAGGAUUGAGUAUUGGCGUCCCCUUGGACAACUCUGCGAACCUUAGCCCGCAAUGCCCACUUCAAUUCCUCUUCUCGCAGUUCUUUCAAUCCACUAGUAGAAAAUGGAGCUUUAUUACGAGUUUGUAAGGGCCUUUAGUGCCGGUUCUGCAACCGACACUAAAGGGUGGAGACUAAAGCCCACCCCCCUUUAGUAACGGUUCGGCACAAACCGCCACUAAAGGCCCACGACGUGGCGUGAGCUCGCGUCGUGGUAUGGGGGACCUUUAGUACCGGUUGGUAACACCAACCAGUACUAAAUUUUUUUUUGAAUUUUUGGAAAAAAUUUGAUUUUUUUUCGAUUUUCAAUUUUCUGAAUUAUUUGAUGAUUUAGUCUCUAAUCACCCCUCUUAAGUCCUCAAGUGUGGAUCACUGAUUCCAAAUCGUCUAACUUCCCGGCCGGUCACCCAUCCUCUCACUACCCCAGCCUGAGCACGCUUAACUUCGGAGUUCUAUUCCCCCUACUUUCCAAGUCUACACUUGUUGUUUUCCUGACAAAUGUAAGCUGUCAAUCCUAUUAACCCUCAGGAGUUUAGCUUGAGCAUUAGGUCACAUGUUUCACCGUUUGAGUUUGAAACUAUUAUUCUAAAAAACAUUAAUUAUUUAGUAACACUAAUAUUUCUUGAAUAAGUAGUUUGACCAUAGUUUGACCAGAUUUGAUCAAAAUUUAAAAAACUGAAACAAUUAUUUAGUAACACUAAUAUUCUUGAAUAAUUAUUUAGUAACACUAAUAUUUCUUGAAUAAGUAGUUUGACCACAGUUUGACCAAAAUUCAAAAAAACUGAAAUUUGAGCAUAUCUUUUUUUCCUUUUAGAAUUUGAGGAUUCUAAAAAUUUGCAAACAGGCCAUAGGCGGUCAAAAUUGGAUGCGGAUUUUCGUGCUGAACAUUUUGAUAUAUUAUACUUUUUUUUUCGACAUCGUAUGCAAAAGAUAUAGUCGUUUUACUUUUUCGACACACUUUUUUGCAAAACAUGUCCAAAUUUAAGUUUUUAAAUUUUCCUAACUUGUAGAUGUAGUAACAUAACUACAUCUCGAAGGAUUUUAAUUUUUUGAAGUUUUUUAUCAUUUUCNNNNNNNNNNNNNNNNNNNNNNNNNNNNNNNNNNNNNNNNNNNNNNNNNNNNNNNNNNNNNNNNNNNNNNNNNNNNNNNNNNNNNNNNNNNNNNNNNNNNNNNNNNNNNNNNNNNNNNNNNNNNNNNNNNNNNNNNNNNNNNNNNNNNNNNNNNNNNNNNNNNNNNNNNNNNNNNNNNNNNNNNNNNNNNNNNNNNNNNNNNNNNNNNNNNNNNNNNNNNNNNNNNNNNNNNNNNNNNNNNNNNNNNNNNNNNNNNNNNNNNNNNNNNNNNNNNNNNNNNNNNNNNCUUUAGUACCGGUUGGUGACAGAAACCGGUACUAUAGGUUAGACCUUUAGUACCGGUUUGUGUCACAAACCGGCACUAAAGGGGCUCGUGGGGCCCCGGCCUGACGCCAGCCUGCCACCACCCCUUUAGUACCGGUUCGUGGCACCAACCGGUACUAAAGGUUCAACACGAAACGACACUAAUGCAUAGCCGUUCGAACCGGCACUAAUGGUCACAUUAGUGCCGGCUCAAAUACAAACCGGGACUAAUGAGUUAAACAUUUGACCCUUUUUCUACUAGUGAUCUCAUCUCCGCAUAGCAUGUCCUUUGCCGUCCAAGGUAUGUACGUGCGAGCUAUCAAACCUAUGAAACAAAACGGCAACGUCACUCCCACAAGCCUGAACAACACAUUCAUCAUCUGCUAUAUAGAGAACUAGCCCAGUGGCCCGCACAAAUGCGGUGUGUGGGCAACUUCUUCAGUAAUGUGGUGCGACCGUGUUUCGAAAUAAAAUCUAUUGAACCGUUAUGGGCCUGGCCCAUGUGUGUUGCUGACCUAGAAGUGAGGAAGGAGUAAGUUGUCUGCUCGACAGAACACGUACACAUCCGAGUCUAAUGUGCAGUCGCCGCUCUCCAGGUUGCUGCUCCUCAAAGCACAACAUGGUAUCAGAGCGAGGCGGCGGCGGGGCUAGCGGGAUGGUGAUUCCGCAACGGCGGAGCCAACGUACAGGUGUUGGGUUCAACCCAACGGAAUUUGCUCCGUACGGGUGUGUAGGUGCCUAUUUACCAGACAUGAACCCAUUAAAAUAUCGUGGCUGACCCCAUCAACUAGAGGCUAUCAAGUGAACGACUAAGCAAAGGGCUCAAAAGUGAGAAGCCCACGAGGAUUCCUUGACUCCUUCCGUGUGAUUAGCGUUUCUCAAAAAAAAGUCACCGUGAUUAUAUUAGUCACGUAGGCAUCCCUUCAAUCCCUAAAAAUAAACGUACCCUAUCCCUCCAAAAAAAAAAGAUUAGUCACAUACGCAUCCGCACGCCUCAUCGUCUCUUUGUUUUUUAAUACACAUUUGAUUUCUCCUCUCGUCUAUUCGUGUUCCUGACGCCUUGCCGCCUCAGCCGCCGCACGCCACCGGCAAGCAGGCCCGCUACAGCCUACAUGCCUACAGCCUACAGAUCGACAGCGGCAACAUUUGUAGUACAAACUUUGAGGUAAUUACAUUACAUUGUCUCAUCUCUUCUCUCUCAUAUGUAUGUUUUAUCUAUCCCAAUAGCCUAGUAUGAUAGUGGAUUUUUUGCCCUAGUUUUUUUAUUCGUUUCUCCAUGGACUUUGAUUGAUCUAGGCUAUGGAGCGGUGUUUUUCGAAGAGAACUCUGUCACUAGAUCCGGAUCCAGAGAAUGAUACAUGCACAUCAAGGUCACCCAUUAGACGUAUGCAAAGUGCAUCAAAUGUCACUGUAGCUAGUCUCCCAAAGCCUACUACUCAUACAGAAUAAUUUUGAUGAGUUGCCUUAUGAUCCGGCUUAUCGGAAGAGAAUUUCAAAGUAAACGAAAUCCAAAGAAGCAAGAUGAGAUUUGCGCAUAUAUUUAACAAGGGGAACUUACAGGCCAUCGUCUAAUUUUGAUUACCCGCAGAGGGAGAUUGAAGAUACUCGACGGAGAUUUGAUUCAGAUUGGUUUGAUGAAUACAUUGUUGGCUUGAGUAUAGUGAAAAAGUGCAUAAGGCCUUUUGUUUGUGUUGCUAACUUUUAGAGAUUACAACGAGGGACAAGCUGGGAGUGAUGCGUUUGCAAUUAACCGCUGGAACGGUUGGAACAAGAAAAACGAACUAGAUAGUCAUGAGGGUAAGGGUAAUGUUAAUAGCUUUCAUAAUGUAGCAGUAAAAAGAUGUGAUACUAUGAUGAAUCAAGAUCAAUCAAUUUAGGUCACUCUAAAACGUGAGUGACUUUACAAGAUUCUUUCGCUUGACAGUACUUAUUCUAUACUUGUAAUCUAACUUGUUAUUUUUUUCCAACCGCUGUUCAAGGCGGUGUAAACUAACUUGUCAUUUUUUUCCUAACCGCUGUUCAAGGCGGUGUAAACUAACUUGUCAUUUUUUCCCAACCGGUGUGUACACAAUUGGAGCGAGUGGCCAUGGAAGAUAUUUCUCAAUAUGAGUGGCAGCAUAACCGUAUCGGCCCAUCACCUCAUUCGACGUAGUGACGGUCCUAUUUGACUCUGCUAGCUAGUGCCGAUAUGUCAACUUUUUAUUUUCUUUCAGACUGUUUGUGUUUGGCUGUGUGCAUCCUAACUAUGCAGAGGCCAGGUGUUUCUCAUCAUGAUUUGUAUCUUCUUGAUGCUACAUUUUGAGUUAAUAAAAGUGCCAUUUAUCGAAAAACUUGUCAUCUUUCCAAUGUUCCAGGAAGAUGAGAAGCUACACCGGAGCUGCAAAUUUAUUUAAUACUACUCUAUUUACAAUAUGUAAACAAGUGAUUUCCUAAUUUUAUAGAACCGGUGUGUCUUGCACUCUUUAGUUUUUAAUGCAGAACAAUAACUGAUAUGUGAUACUCAUUAUGUUGUUUUCGGGUCCUAUAAUGCGUUGUAAGAUAAUUUAAAAUUAGACUUUACACUUCACAUAUCAGUACCAAGUUCUCACAACGAGUCAUGGAGUGAACUCAAUGGCCAAAUUUUCUGGCUGCGCCCCCGGAAAGGACUGAAGGAAGAUAUGAUGGACAAAGGAGUCGGGCCAGAGAACUAGAACUUGGAACUAAUUCUGAACAAAAGGGGUGACUAAAGAGAAUUUAGAUGUAGAAAGUCAAGCAAUAGCAGCAAAGUAAAUCAGAGCAGUUGUUGCUUGUUAGGCAUGCAUGGUGAUUUAACAUCAAGAGACCGAUCCCAAAUCGAAGGUAAAAUGCACCUUAAUUCACAUCACCUCAGUGUCAAACCCCGCAGAAACCUGAAGAGGAUAACCAACAAGCAUUCAUGGCAAUGGCAGACCACCACCGCAACUAAAAGGUUAUAAGUUUACCGGAAACCAUCUGCCUCGUCGUCAAGAGUCACACAGCUCUAACAUGCCAGAGCCAAAAUAACAUCACGUCCAACUUAUUAAUAAUUACUUAAAACUUAUUAAGUACUUCCAGCAACUUCAGCCCGUCAUGUCCAGUUGAGACUAAGUGCUUCCAGCAUCUUCUUCAGUGCGCUUCCUCUUGAGGUUGCUCCUGUCCACACGCCACUGCUUCAGGAGGUGCUCAACGACUUCUGCCAGGGUGGCUUUCCGGUCCUCCUUGUAGUUCCACAGCUCGUUAACAGGAUGGCGGCCACUGGGAUUGUGCUCGCUGAGUUCGAGCAGGGCCUUUGUCACCAAACCAUAGAUCUGUUCGCCAUUUUCUUCUUUCAGAGCACGAAGCUUCUCGUCGUCCUCACAGACAAUUUCCUACAACAGAGCACACACUAUUAGAUGGAUAAAAAAUUUACAAGGCAAACAAACUAUUUAACAGGUCCAAAAACCUGCACUUCAGGAACAUGCCAAGAUUGCUAUUUCAUAGUGAUUUGUUCAACCGCGAGUAGCAGACCCUAAGAUAAGUUCUCAGAGGUAACACAAUGAAUCUAUGCAUUAGCUGAACACUCUACAAGCAAGGGGCCAAACUCGUGUGACACAACAUAUUAUUAUGUUUUGAAAGUCAUACCACAUAUUUCACAAACAUGCCUUAGCUAUCCUGGUAUUAUUGACCAGUGAUACACAUAUAUGUCUAAGUUAACAGAUUCAGUAAUCAACCAUCCAUUGAAUAAUUAACUGUUGUACAUAAAACAGAAAUAACUGACCUAUGAAUACAUUAGUGUUAUAUAUUACAAAACUAAACCAAGCUAUUAAACGAUUCACUGCAAGAUCUGCAUGCAGAGACCAGUUGCAGCACACCAUGAAGAAAAGAUUGUUCUCUGCUGAUUUGUUCCUUUUGGAUUAAUUAAGAAAAUCUAGGGGAGUAUAUUAAACUAUGCACCUCUAGUUUAUACCACAGUUUAUUAAGAAGCAGAUGUACAAGGGAAACAUUUGCAAAGCCAAAAGCCUACUGCAGAACCAAUGACACACAAUUACAAAAUAUUAGAGAAAGCUGAUUGUGCAGUAGCAACAGUAAAGAGAUUUAUACCAUUUCUUUUCCAUCAACCAUGAUAACUUUAAACGGGUACCAAUCUGGAUUUCCUGCAGAGCGAUAAUGAAACCAAGAAAUACCGUCUGGCUAGGUGGAAUGUAUUAUGUCGACCUAAAAGCCAAGGGGGUCUUGGAAUCCAGGCCCUAGAGAUUAAAAACAUCGCUCUUCUCAGCAAAUGGGUGUACAAACUACUCACUGAGGAGGGCGUUUGGCAGGAAAUCAUUCGUAAUAAAUAUGUGGGAUCCAAAGCAAUAUCUCAGGUAUACUGGAAACCAGGUGAUUCUCAUUUUUGGAGUGGGGUGAUGAAAGCUAAAGAUUUCUUUUUCCAAUUUGGUCCAGGAUGGUUCCCAAGUACGGUUUUGGGAAGGUUUUGGGAAGAUACCUGGCUGGGGUCUAAUCCACCUAGCGUUCAAUACCCAAGCUUGUAUAGGAUUGUUAGACAUAAGUUUGUCACGAUUAAACAAGUUUUGGGUCAGGAAAAUCCCGACAUUUCUUUUCGUAGGGACCUUCUUGGACCUCGUCGGACAGCCUGGAAUGAACUGCUCAUCCGUUUGGAGGCCGUACAGCUGUCGGAUGAGCCGGAAAUUUUUAGAUGGAAAUUGCAUCAGAAUGGGAAGUUUUCAGUAAAAUCCAUGUAUGAUGCAUUGGUCCAUAAUGAGGUUCCAAUUGAUAACAGGAAAUUGUGGAAGCUAAAAAUCCCUCUAAAAGUGAAGUAUUCCUAUGGUUCUUAACAAAGGGAUGAUCUUAACUAGGGAUAACUUGGCAAGACGCAACUGGCAAGGUUGCAAAAAAUGUGCUUUCUGCCAUCAUGAUGAAUCCAUUAAACACUUAUUUUUCGAGUGCAAGUUUGCACGGUCGGUUUGGGCCAUUGUUCAGAUAGCGUCGAAUCUUUACCCCCCACGUAGUGCACGGAAUAUGUUUGGCAAUUGGUUGUGGGGAAUAGAUAAACAAUUUUCUGCUCACAUCCUUGUGGAGGCGGCCGCCUUAUGUUGGGCGCUUGGCUCACCAGGAAUGAUAUAGUUUUUAACCAUAAAUGCGUUCCAUCUCCUAUGCAGGUUAUUCAUAUAUAUUCGCGAUGGCUCCGUACGUGGUCUAUCAUGCAGAGGCCGGAGGACAGAGACCUUUUUAUGAUGGCGUCUACUCGGCUGGAGCGUUCGGCCAGGGAGGUUUUCUACCCCCAUAGAUGGCGGUGUGACCUUCCACUACUAGGGAAAACCUUAUACACAGAAUCUUAGCAGCAGCGCGGCACAAAAAGAGGCGCUACUGCUAAUUAGCAGUAGCGAUGUUAAGAAAAACGCGCUGCUAAUGAAAAUUUAGCAGUAGCGCGUGAUGGAUAAACUGCGCUGCUACAAAAAUGUACCGACAGUACCUAACAACCUAAGUUUACCAGCAGCGCGGUGGCACGAUGCGCGCUACUGCUAAAGCAAUAGUAGUAGCGCGCUUUUUAGUCACGUCGCUGCUGCUAAUUUUGAAAUUGUCCACACGGUUGGCCCGUUUAGCAGUAGCGCGUGUGAGAAAAGCGCGUUGCUGCUACACCCUUAGCAGUAGCGCGCUUUUCCUCCCGCGCCACUGCUAAGGCGCAGCACCCCACCACCUUUUCCCACCCGUCCUCCCCUCCCCCAUCUCCUCUCCUCCCUUUCCCCUACCUCCCACAUCCUCCCUCUCUCACUCUUCUUCUUCCUCAAGACUUCUCCCCCCAUUACUCUCCCUCUUCUACCUACCUUUCUCUCUCUUCAUUACUCCUAGCUAACUACACCACCUCCAUUAAUGCAUCUCCUUUAUCUUUUUCCUUCCCCCUCCACUAGUUGAAGUUGUCUCCUCCCAAAUUAGCUAGCUAGGUAGAUGUAGCAUUUAGUCAAGUGACCUAUUUGCCCCUAACUAGAUCUAUCUUUGUCAAGAAGAGCUUUGUGCACUUUUGAUCUCCCUACAUCAUCAUCUCCACCGUGUGCUCGAUCUCGAGAUAGAGGUGAUUAAAAUUUCAUGCUUUUGCAAAAUGGAAACAUGUGUAUGUGUGUGUGAUAUGAUAAUUGGGCAAUAUGAUGGAAAUUGUGUGUGUGGCAUGAGUUGACGCCAAAUUGUGCUUUUGAGUUGCCUAUGUUUUGCCGAAAUGUCGAUUUAUUUCCGUUUCGGCGAAUUCCGGGCAAACUCUAGAUCUAUAUAUGUCCUAUUUUUAGGGAAGGUCAUGCCGAAUUUUUGUAUGACUUUGAUGCAUGCACGCAUUUUUAUAAUCAAUUUGUUUAUUAUUACCGUGCAGACGUUCAUGAUGGUCAGUGGAACGAUGGUGGACAGGUGGUUGCGGUCGGCGGUGCAGGACAUGAAAGAAAAUAACCUGACAGAGGUUUUAUGCCCGUGUCGAAAAUGCAAAGGAAUAGUUUGGCUCGACCCCUAUGACGAUGGUCGUGUCGAAGCGCACCUGCUCAUGACUGGUUUCAUGGAUGGCUAUACUCGGUGUAUAAUUGAAGAUGAGGAUGACGAUGUUGAGGACGCCGACGGGGCAGGCAAUGAUGACACGGGGCAAGACGAAGAGAUGAUCGAUAAUGGCGGAGGGGAAGCGGCCGAACAUGGCGGCGGAGAAGGGGUCGGACAUGGCGGAGGAGAAGGGGCCGGACAUGGUGGCGGAGAGAACGACGUGGACUCCACGCAGCAGAGUUCGUCGGUACUAAGUUCAAUCGUGCGGGACCCUCAUGUUCAAGCACUGCUUCGCAAGGAGACGAGUACUGAGAGAGCUGCUUCUAGAGAGGAGGCUAAGCUGGAGCAACUGGUGGUAGACUCGAACACUCCAUUAUAUGAUGGUUGCAAUCCUGAGGUGACCCACUUGAGUUUCACGCUCCAACUCCUGAAGACAAAGGCUAAAAACAAUGGACCGACACUAGCCUCGAUGAGCAUCUCAAGUACCUAAAGGAUGUUCUUCCCGCGGGGAAUCUAUGUCCUACUAGUGUUGAAGAGGCCAAGAAGAUCGUGUGCCCUCUUGAUCUGCCGCACCUUAGAUACCAUGCAUGCAUCAAUGAUUGCAUAAUUUAUCGGAAGGAGCACGCGGAAAAAACAAGCUGUUCGGUGUGCAAUGCUUCUCGAUACAAGAAGGCCGGGAAGAAAUGUCCCCAGAAAGUUGUAUGGUACUUACCGAUCACUCCCCGUCUCCAGCGGUAUUUUGUAGAUCCCAAGGAAGCAAAGCUAAUGCGCUGGCACGCGGAGAGGAAGAAGCCUGACGAUGGAGAUGAUCCGAAGCUGAGACACGUCAAGGAUGGAAGCCAGUGGAGAGCGUUGAACAGCUUCUAUCGGUAUUUCGAAUGUGAUGCAAGGAACAUCGUGCUCGGCGCGUGUACCGAUGGCAUGAAUCCGUUUGGCAACCAGAACACCAACCAUAGCACAUGGCCCGUGUUUGUAUGGAUGUACAACCUCCCCCCUGGUUGUGCAUGAAGUCAAAGUACAUUCACAUGAGCAUGCUUAUUCAAGGGCCGAAACAACCAGGAAAUAAUAUUAAUUUGUAUUUGGGGCUACUUCAAGAGGAGUUAGACACGUUAUGGAAAACACCGGCCAAGACAUGGGACGCCAGCAAAGGCGAGUAUUUCUACAUGAGAGCCACGCUGAUCACGACGGUGCACGACUAUCUCGGUUACGGAUAUGUCGCAGGCCAGGUGUGCCAUGGAUAUUGCGGAUGCACGCGGUGCAUGGAUGAUACGACGUCUCAGCAGCUAACGUCAAGGAAAGAUGGCGGGUCUGGGAAAAUCGUGUACAUGGGGCAUCGAAGAUGGCUCGAAGAGGACGACCCGUGGAGAAACCGUGGAGAUCUAUUCAAUGGUCACGCUGAGCAUCGAGGACCUCCACGUAAGCGGAGCGGUGCCGAAAUCGAUGAGCUGUUGAAAAACUGGAAGGAGUGCCCCGCGCCGGGAAAGACGAUGAAAAAGGCGCUGGAGCCGCUGCUGAAGGUAUGGAAGACGAGGUCUGUGUUCUGGGACUUGGAGUACUGGCACAAACUCGAUACACCUCAUUGCCUUGAUCAAAUGCAUAUAUGUAAGAAUGUCCUUGAGAGCUUGCUCGUGACACUGAUGAACAUGCCGGAUAAGACCAAGGAUGGGCCGAAGACAAGAAAAGACUUGCAAGAUUUGAAAAUCAGGGAAGAUCUGCACAUGCCGCCCCAUAAAAUGUCAGACGAGACAGAGACGGAGACAGAGGCACGGGAGAAGAAGGGCAAGAAAAUAAAGAAAGAGGAUUAUUUCCCCCCUUCUUGCUUCACCUUAAGUCAGUCUGAGAUCGGUCAAUUCUUUAAGUGCCUUACCGGAGUCAAAGUUAGUUCAGGUUACUGUGGCAAGAUAAGCAAAUAUCUAGACACGGACAAGAAAAGGUUCAGUGGGAUGAAGUCCCAUGACUGUCAUGUGAUGAUGACGCAGAUACUACCUGUUGCCCUUAGAGGGAUAAUGGACAAGCACGUCCGUGACACGCUUAUUGGUCUCUGCAACUUUUUCGACAUCAUCUCUCGAAAGUCGAUCAGUCUGAAGCAGCUCCGAAGGCUACAGGAAGAGAUUGUUGUGAUACUGAAUGAGCUUGAGAUGUACUUCCCGCCCGCGUUCUUUGACGUGAUGGUGCAUAUGUGUGUCCAUAUUGUGGACGACAUAAUAGACCUGGGGCCGUCAUUUCUGCACAACAUGAUGCCGUUUGAGAGGACGAAUGGGAUCAUCAAAGGAUUCAUUCGUAACAUGUCAUGUCCGGAUGGAAGCAUCGCCCAGGGCUAUCUGACACAAGAGUGCAUCUUUUUCUGCGAGAAUUUUCUAUAUGGCGCAGACCUGCAGCCGCCUGGUGUUAGUGUUGGUUUGCCCGUUAACAAGCACGAUGGGAGGCUCGAAGGAGAAGGUCACUCCAACGGUCGCAGGGAACUGCACGUGGCAUACUCAGAUCGACGCAUCGACUUUGACAGAGCAACUUGGUAGUGCUACAACACCUAGACGAGGUAGAUCCUUUCGUGGCACUGCACAAAGAAAUCAUCGCAAAGAAGUACCGUGAUCGGGGGCUAUGCAGGACGGACGCCGAAGUUACUAGAGAGCACAACUCCACUUUCCUGCAUUGGUUCAAAGAGCAUAUUAUUGCUAAUCCCCCCGACGAGGGCUCUAAGGACGGAUUGCUCAUAUACGCCUUAGCACAUGGCCCCUCGCCCAACCUCGUAACCUAUCAGGCAUACGAUAUCAACGGAUACACGUUCUACACGGAGGCCAAAGAUAUGGACAGUGAUGAUCAGAACUCAGGGGUGACGAUGGAAUGCAUGACCGGCAGCGACAACGGCGCAACUGAAAGAUUUUACGGAAGGGUCGAGGAAAAGUCACAAUGAGGGGCUCAAUUAUUCUUCAACGAACAAGAAGGGAAAGAAGCUGACUCAAAAACGAAAACGUCAACGCUGAGGAACCGUAUGUUAUCGGUCAAAUGAUGUAAUAUAUAUAUAUAUAUAUAUAUAUAUAUAUAUGUUCCUAUUUUGUAUACACACUUAGCCAUUAUUAUGCAUGGGUCCAAUAAUGUAAUAUAUAUGUUCCUAUUUUAUAUACAUAUUUAACCAUCAAAUGAUGCAAUAUAUAUCGCCUUCCCUUCGUUCACUGCUCUCGGAAAAAAGAAAAGAAAAGUGAGAGAAAAUAAAGGAAAAGAAAAAGGAAAACUGGUUAUAGCAGUAGCGCUUUACUGAAAAAGAGCUACAGCUAGUCAAGGUAGCAGUAGCGGUUUCCAUAUAAAACCGCUAUAGCUGCCUGUAAUAGUAGUAGCGCGUUUGCUCUAAACGCGCUACUGCUACGUCCACUUAACCCAAAAUCCUCACUCUCUCUGCUUCAUCCCGCCUCUUUUCCCCCCAAAUCCCCACUCUCUCUUCCCCCGUCGCACCACCGGGGCCCUGCCCUCGCCGCGCCCCGGCGCUCUCCCCCGACCCCGGCGCUCGCCCCCGACCCCGACGCGACACGCCUCCCUCCUCGGCCUCGCCCCCGACCCCGACGCGCCACGCCUCCCUCCUCUGCUUCCUCCCNNNNNNNNNNNNNNNNNNNNNNNNNNNNNNNNNNNNNNNNNNNNNNNNNNNNNNNNNNNNNNNNNNNNNNNNNNNNNNNNNNNNNNNNNNNNNNNNNNNNNNNNNNNNNNNNNNNNNNNNNNNNNNNNNNNNNNNNNNNNNNNNNNNNNNNNNNNNNNNNNNNNNNNNNNNNNNNNNNNNNNNNNNNNNNNNNNNNNNNNNNNNNNNNNNNNNNNNNNNNNNNNNNNNGCUCCUCCUCUCUCUGCUAGCUAGGGUUCUUGGGUUAAUUUACUUAGGUUUUAGUUAGGGCAGUAGGUUAAUUAGGUUAUCUAUUUAGUUAUGAAUUUAGCUAGGUUUUAAAAUAGGACAGAAAUUUAGGGUUAAGCAAUUGUAGUUAAAAGAAAAGGCAACAUUUAAGCAAUUGUCCAAAUCAACAUCCCUUGUUAAAGCAAAUUUAGGUAGGCUGAAUUUAUAUGCAAAUUUGAACUGGACAUGUGAUAUGUGGACAUGUCAUGUUUUGGACAUGUCAUGUUUGGAAUUUGGACAUGUCAUUUGGACAUGUGAUGUUUUGGACAUGUCAUAUUUGGAAAAUGAUGAUUAUGUGCAGGGUAAAUGAUCCGAGUGGCCUAUGUUACGCCGGAAUGUUGAUUCAUUUUUGUUCCGGUGAAUUUCAGGCGCUCGAUAUGUCCAUUUUUUAGCAAAGGUCAUGCCGAAAUUUUCCGUGAUUUUUGGCAUGAUUUGUGCUAGAUAGUAGGCAUAUCGAGUGCUGGGAGUUGCUGGGAAAUGACAUUCCGACAAACAUAGAUUUCUUUUUUAUGUCAUUUCUCAUUUUUUUCAUACUUUUAGAAUUAAACGAGGAGACUUAAUCAUAGGAAACAUGUCGAACAACGAAGAAACUGGGCCUUCUGACCAAGAUGCAGACGAGAUGAAUUAUGAGGAUGAACAAGAGUACCUCGACUACUUGACUACUAAGCAAGGUUUUCAGGUCGGCCUCGAUGAUGGUACUGACGCCGACAUCGACACCGACGGCGCCGGCACCGAUGGCGGCGCCGAGACCGGCGGGGAAGGUACCGGCGGGGAAGGUACCGGCGCCGAUGCCGCUACCGAAAAGAAGAAGCAGGAGAAGCAGAGGAUACUAAAACCUAACAAACUAGGGAUUGGACGACUAGUGAUCACAAAGAUGGCACCUGGCAAGUUUGAGCCAUUAGAGCCGGAAGAACCUCGCAAGUGCUAUGGGAACCAAGUAGGAUGCAUCCUACGGGAAUGCGCGAGCAUCAACGACGAUGACUUAAGGAGUAAAGAACAUUUGACGCAGUUGCUCCUGACGAAGUUGCACAAAAGAUUCAAGUUCCCCGACCGGGAUGAUAACAUAGAACAACCGUGGGAUGAUCCGAAGAUGAAAAAGAUCAAUCACGCCAUGGGCAUGUUCAGCAAUGAUUUGGCCUCCUGGAAAGGGAGGGUAAAACGAGCUAUUGAGGCUGAGGAACCCCUGUCCAAGAUUCUGGAGGAAAAUCCGACACUUACGGAAGAGGAGUUCGAAAAGUUCAAGGACACUUGCGCUACCGAGGCAGCCAAGGCUAAGGCUGCGAAAUUCAAGAGCCUUCAGCAAAGGAACACGUGGAAGCAUCGCCUCGGAAGCAGUGGCUACCUCGGUAAAAGGCCCAUAUGGGAUAAGGAGGACGCGGAACGUGAAGCCGCGGGUAUCCCAGACCCCUUCGCGAAGUUCACCAACCCCUUAGAGCGUGACUUCAUCAGGGCCCGCUACAAGUGGGACAAGGAAAAGAAGGUUUUUUACACGGACCAGAUCACGAGGAAAUUGAUUAGACUAUUGGAAAUUAUUCUUUUACCACCUUACAUUUAGCUCCAUAUCUAGUCGACUACACAUUCCUAAACGGAUCACGCUCCAUCUACAGGAGAAGCAACACCAGCUUGCAGCCGAAAGCCCGACUUCUCCGAUGAGGCCCAAGUGGGACACCCCUCUCAACCGGGCCUUGAACGAACUUAAGGGACUCCCUUUGGGCCAGCGGCCGCAAUAUGGUCAUGUGCACGGCGCUGGAGACGGAGCCACGUGGAAGGUGUUUUACAACGAGGGCCCGGAGGCCAAGAGCAGAAAAAUAAGUUUAGUCAGGCGGACAUCGACGCGAAGGUGAAGCUUGCGGUCGAGAAAAAAGCAGCUGAGGACGCGAAAAAAACAGACGAGGAGAAAAAUGAGUUGCUACAGCAGGCAGUCAAUGCUGCUGUAACUGCCUGCAGAAAUGAUUUCGCUCCUAACUUGGUUCCAGCUAUCAUCAACUGGACGAAGGAAAAUCAAGACAAGACGGUACAUGAUUUCCCGUUGCCCAGUUUCGUCGGGAGCAACUCCAUGAACAACAACACCACCGCACCAUCACUUGCUCACGCAACCGGGCCUCCUCUCGCAGUCGCUCCCGCUCAUAGCAGCCCGUCCUCAGUCUCUGGCGCGCUAGGUGGGCCUUCGUCUUUGGCUGAGCUCGACGCCGUCACGGUAAUUACAUGUCGCACCAACAUAUAUAUAUAUAUAUAUAUAUAUAUAUAUAGAAUAUUCCAUUUUCGUUGCCUUUCGGAUGUUUUACACCACAGACAUAUGUGUUUGCAGGCCGAAGAAACCCCGUGCACCAUACUCUACUUGAUCAAAGGCCAGAAGGUGGAUGUGGGAAAGGGGAUGAUAAUGAACCCCUUGCAACCCACGUUACACAACCAGCCGAUCCCCGCUGGGCACUUCAGGGUUAGCUUGUCUAGUGUGAAAUCGGGGCACGAGGAUUUUCCUCCUCCAGUACAGCAUGUGGGAGAGGACGACGAGACCCCGCCGCGGAUUGGAAACUGCAAGGGUUGGGUGCUGCUAUGGCCGAAGAAUCUUAUUCGUCUGGAGCCGGCCGAGAGCACACCAAUAACCACACAUCAACAAGCAUGUGCGGAGACCACCACCCCGCCUACGUAAUUACCAGCUCCUGUAGUGCUAGGUGAGAGCGAUGGACGACGUGAUGAAGGGGGUGCAAUAGUACUGGCUGAUGUAAUCGGUCCUGUAGAACAGAGAAUGGAUGAUGAGACGGAGGUCGACCCUAUGGGUUUCCUCAAUACAAACGCGUAUGACUGUGACAUAGAUAUGAUGAGUCAACCAUAUGACGAAUCGGGCUAUCAGCAUGCUAAUGAGGAUAUGGAUGAUAUGCCCGGACAGGAAGGUCGUAGCAGGGAUUGCAAAAAGUCUCUCUUCCUGAAAUCCUCACAGGACACGCCUGAAGAUGCCGCCUCAACACAGGCUCAACUAGCCGGGGGUCGUACAGUACAUAGCCCGGGAACACUGGGGCAGGGGUUAAGGAAGGGUCUGGAAGGUGUGCCCAAGAAAAAGGAGAGGAAGAGAUCAGGGAAGAUAGCUGCCUCCAAACAAGGCAGAGCACUGAUAACCCACAAGUAUAGGUGAUCGCAACAGUUUUCGAGGGUAGAGUAUUCAACCCAAAUUUAUUGAUUCGACACAAGGGGAGCCAAAGAAUAUUCUCAAGUAUUAGCAGUUGAGUUGUCAAUUCAACCACACCUGGAUAACUUAGUAUCUGCAGCAAAGUAUUUAGUAGCAAAGUAAUAUGAUAGUAGUGGUAACGGUAAUGGUAGCAAAAGUAAUAUUUUUGGUAUUUUUUAGUGAUUGUAACAAUAGCAACGGAAAAGUAAAUAAGCGAAGAACAAUAUGUGGAAAGCUCAUAGGCAUUGGAUCGGUGAUGGAGAAUUAUGCCGGAUGCGGUUCAUCAUGUAACAAUCAUAACAUAGGGUGACACAGAACUAGCUCCAAUUCAUCAAUGUAAUGUAGGCAUGUAUUCCGAAUAUAGUCAUACGUGCUUAUGGAAAAGAACUUGCAUGACAUCUUUUGUCCUACCCUCCCGUGGCAGCGGGGUCCUAAUGGAAACUAAGGGAUAUUAAGGCCUCCCUUUAAUAGAGUACCGGAACAAAGCAUUAACACAUAGUGAAUACAUGAACUCCUCAAACUAUGGUCAUCACCGGGAGUGGUCCCGAUUAUUGUCACUUAGGGGUUGCCGGAUCAUAACACAUAGUAGGUGACUAUAGACUUGCAAGAUAGGAUCAAGAACUCACAUAUAUUCAUGAAAACAUAAUAGGUUCAGAUCUGAAAUCAUGGCACUCGGGCCCUAGUGACAAGCAUUAAGCAUAGCAAAGUCAUAGCAACAUCAAUUUCAGAACAUAGUGGAUACUAGGGAUCAAACCCUAACAAAACUAACUCGAUUACAUGAUAGAUCUCAUCCAACCCAUCACCGUCCAGCAAGCCUACGAUGGAAUUACUCACGCACGGCGGUGAGCAUCAUGAAAUUGGUGAUGGAAGAUGGUUGAUGAUGACGACGGCGAUGGAUUCCCCUCUCCGGAGCCCCGAUCGGACUCCAGAUCAGCCCUCCCGGGAGGUUUUAGGGCUUGGCGGCGGCUCCGUAUCGUAAAACGCGAUGAAUCCUUUUCUCUGAUUUUUUUCUCCCCGAAAGCAAAUAUAUAGAGUUGGAGUUGAGGUUGGAGGAGCUCCAGGGGGGCCACGAGGUAGGGGCGCGCCCUAGGGGGGGCGCCCCCCACCCUCGUGGCUAGGGUGUGGGCCCCCUGGUCUUCAUCUUUUGCAAGGAUUUUUUAUUAUUUCCAAAUAGACGUUCCGUGGAGUUUCAGGUCAUUCCGAGAAGUUUUGUUUCUACACAUAAAUAACACCAUGGAAAGUCUGCUGAAAACAGCGUCAGUCCGGGUUAGUUCCAUUCAAAUCAUGCAAGUUAGAGUCCAAAACAAGGGCAAAAGUGUUUGAAAAAGUAGAUACGACGGAGACGUAUCAACUCCCCCAAGCUUAAACCUUUUCUUGUCCUCAAGCAAUUCAGUUGAUAAACUGAAAGUGAUAAAGAAAAACUUUUACAAACUCUGUUUGCUCUAGUUGUUGUAAAUAUGUAAAGCCAACAUUCAUGUUUUCAGCAAAGAUUAUGACUAACCACAUUCACAAUAACUCUUAGGUCUCAUGUUUACUCAUAUCAAUAGCAUAAUCAACUAGCGAGCCAUAAUAAUAAAUCUCGGAUGACACCACUUUCUCAAAACAAUCAUGAUAUGAUAUAACAAGAUGGUAUCUCGCUAGCCCUUUCUGAGACCGCAAAACAUAAAUGCAGAGCACCUUUAAAGAUCAAGGACUGACUAGACAUUGUAAUUCAUGGUAAAAGAGAUCCAGUCAUAGUCAUACCCAAUAUAAAUUAAUAGUAAUGAAUGCAAAUGACAGCUGCGCUCUCCAGCUAGUGCUUUUUAAUAAGAGGGUGAUGACUCAACAUACAAGUAAAUAGAUAGGCCCUUCGCAGAGGGAAGCAGGGAUUUGUAGAGGUGCCAGAGCUCGGUUUUGAAAUAGAGAUAAAUAAUAUUUUGAGCGGCAUACUUUCAUUGUCAACAUAACAACCAAGAGAUGGCGAUAUCUUCCAUGCUACACACAUUAUAGGCGGUUCCCAAACAGAAUGGUAAAGUUUAUACUCCCCCUCCACCAACAAGCAUCAAUCCAUGACUUGCUCGAAACAACGAGUGUCUCCAACUAGCAACAGUCCCAAGGGGAGUUUUGUUUGCAAUUAUUUUGAUUUCAUUUGCAUAAAGCAUGGGACUGGGCAUCCCGGUGACCAGCCAUUUUCUCGUGAAUGAGGAGUGGAGUCCACUCCUCUUGAGAAUAACCCUCCUAACAUGGAAGAUAAUGGCAGCCCUAGUUGAUACAUGAGCUAUUCGAGCAUACAAAACAGAAUGUUUAUUUGAAGGUUUAGAGUUUGGCACAUACAAAUUUACUUGGAACGGCAGGUAAAUACCGCAUAUAGGAAGGUAUAGUGGACUCAUAUGGAAUAACUUUGGGGUUUACACUAGUAGAAAACAGGGCUUUGGUCACAGGGCAAUAUUAACAUUAGUCCCGGUUCAGUCACGAACCAGGACUAAUGUGAGCAUUGGUCCCGGUUCGUGCGGCUAAGGCAUUAGUCCCGGUUCACCUGAGCCCUUUAGUCCCGGUUUGAGACACGAACCGGGACUNNNNNNNNNNNNNNNNNNNNNNNNNNNNNNNNNNNNNNNNNNNNNNNNNNNNNNNNNNNNNNNNNNNNNNNNNNNNNNNNNNNNNNNNNNNNNNNNNNNNNNNNNNNNNNNNNNNNNNNNNNNNNNNNNNNNNNNNNNNNNNNNNNNNNNNNNNNNNNNNNNNNNNNNNNNNNNNNNNNNNNNNNNNNNNNNNNNNNNNNNNNNNNNNNNNNNNNNNNNNNNNNNNNNNNNNNNNNNNNNNNNNNNNNNNNNNNNNNNNNNNNNNNNNNNNNNNNNNNNNNNNNNNNNNNNNNNNNNNNNNNNNNNNNNNNNNNNNNNNNNNNNNNNNNNNNNNNNNNNNNNNNNNNNNNNNNNNNNNNNNNNNNNNNNUUUUGUAAAAAGCAAAAGAAAAUGAUAAAAACUUCAAAAAUUAAAAUCCUUCGAGAUGUAGUUAUGUUACUACAUCUACUAGUUAGGAAAAUUUCAAAACUUAAAUUUAGACAUGUUUUGCAAAAAGUGUAGGGAAAAUGUAAAACGGCUAUAACUUUUGCAUACGAUGUCAGAAAAAACGUAUAAUAUAUCAAAAUGUUCAGCACGAAAAUCCGCAUCCGAUUUUGACGGCCUAUGGCCUGUUUGCAAAUUUUUAGAAUCCUCAAAUUCUAAAAGGAAAAAAAGUUAUGCUCAAUUUUUUUUGAAUUUUUGUUAAAUCUGGUCAAACUAUGGUCAAACUACUUAUUCAAGAAGUAUUACUGUUACUAAAUAAUUAUUCAAGAAUAUUAGUGUUACUAAAUAAUUAUUUCAGUUUUUUUUGAAUUUUGGUCAAAUCUGGUCAAACUGUGGUCAAACAAUGGUCAAACUAAUUAUUCAAGAAAUAUUAGUGUUACUAAAUAAUUAUUUCAGUUUUUUUUUUGAAUUUUUGUCAAAUCUGGUCAAACUGUGGUCAAACUGUGGUCAAACUAUGGUCAAACUACUUGUUCAAGAAAUAUUAGUGUUACUAAAUAAUUAUUUUUUUUAGAACAAUUGUUUAAAACUCAAACAGUGAAAUGUGUGACUUCAUGCUCAAGCUAAAUUCCUGGGGGUUAAUAGGAUUGACAUCUUACUAUUGUGAAGAAAACAACAAGUGCAGACUUGGAAACGAGGGAGAAUAGAACCCGGAAGUUAAGCGUGCUCAGGCUAGAGUAGUGAGAGGAUGGGUGACCGUCCGGGAAGUUAGAUGAUUUGGAAUGAUGAGGGGUGAUUAGAGAUUAGAGGUUAAAUUGAGCAGUGAUUAGGGGUUAGAGGUUAAAAUAAUUCAGAAAUUUGAAAAAAAAAUCAAAAAAAAUUUGAAAAAAAAAUCAUAAAAUUUCCUUUAGUCCUGGUUGGUGUUACCAACCGGGACUAAAGGUGGAGCUCCAGGCUGCGGCCACGUGGACGGCCUUUAGUCCCGGUUCGUGUAAGAACCGGGACUAAAGGGGGAGGCUUUAGUAACGACCCUUUAGUCCCGGUUCCAGAACCGGGACUAAAGGCCCUUUUUCUACUAGUGUUAAGGGAUUGGAUGCACAAGCAGUAUUCCCGCUUAGUACAAGUGAAGGCGAGCAAAAGACUGGGAAGCGACCAACUAGAGAGCGACAACAGUCAUGAACAUGCAUUAAAAUUAAUAAACAUUGAGUGCAAGCAUGAGUAGGAUAUAAUCCACCAUGAACAUAAAUAUCGUGAAGGCUAUGUUGAUUUGUUCAACUACAUGUGUGAACAUGUGCCAAGUCAAGUCACUUAAAUCAUUCGAGGAUACCACCCCACUAUACCACAUCACAACCAUUUUAAUAGCAUGUUGGCACGCAAGGUAAACCAUUAUAGCUCAUAGCUAAUCAAGCAUGGCAUAAGCAACUAUGAUCUCUAAUUGUCAUUGCAAACAUGUUCAUUCAUAAUAAGCUGAAUCAGGAACGAUGAACUCAUCAUAUUUACAAAAACAAGAGAGGUCGAGUUCAUACCAGCUUUUCUCAUCUCAGUCAGUCCAUCAUAUAUCGUCAUAAUUGCCUUUCACUUGCACGACCGAACAAUGUGAAUAAUAAUAAUAGUGCGCGUGCAUUGGACUAAGCUGGAAUCUGCGAGCAUUCAAUAAACAGGAGAAGACAAGGCAAUAUGGGCUCUUGGUUAAAUCAACAAUAAUGCAUAUAAGAGCCACUUCAACAAUUUAAUCAUGGUCUUCUCCUACGACCCCCAAAGAAAAGAAAAGAAAUAAAACUAUUUACACGGGAAAGCUCCCAACAAACAAAAGAAGAACAAGAAAUCUUUUUGGGUUUUCUUUUUAAUUAUUACUACUACAGUAAGAAAAGUAAACUAACUAAAAGUUACACUAAUUUUUUUUGUUUUUCUUAAAGUUUAACAAACACACAAGAAGAAAGCAGGAAAAAGAAAAAAAAUAAACUAGCAUGGAUAUUACAGUGAAAGAGUAUGAGCACCGACAUUUAGCAAUGAGUGUGUGAACAUAAAUGUAAUGUCGGUGGGAAAUACGUACUCCCCCAAGCUUAGGCUUUUGGCCUAAGUUGGUUUAUUGCCAAGGAUGGCCUGGCGGAUAUCCGUAGUUGUAGCCAGGGUCGUACUGAGCUGCGGCAGUUAUCUCAGGAUCCCAAAAGUAAUCAGACUGUCGUGGAGGCUCAAAUUGUGGUUCCGGCUCCGGGGCUGGUUUAGGGUUCCGGUAGGCUUGAAUGGCCGCCCACGGAACGAGAUACGGACCUUCAGAUAAAUUAAACAAGGAAGGAGCAGGCAAGGUAAUAGUCUCAGGGUGAUGUUUAUCAAAGAACAAUUUGUAUUUAAGCUCCCCUUCCUUAUUCUUAACAAUAAAGUCAUGUGCUACCAUACUCUUAUAAUCUAAAUAAGCAUUGGGCAGCAAUUUUUCUUCUUUUUCAUAGUGCCUAAUAGGUAUGUUAUAAUGUGCAGCAAGGCAUGAAGCAUAAAUACCUCCAAAGAUGGGACCCUUAGUAUGGUUCAAACUUAACCGUUUAGCAAUAAUACCGCCCAUACUAACAGUGUUAUCGGAAAAUAAACAAUGACCAAAAUGAUAAUAUCAGGAACACUAAGGUUUCCACAGUUUCCGCGACCAAUCAAGCAACGACUAGCAAAUAUGGCAAAGUAGCGUAAAACGGGAAAAUGUAUGCUAGUGAUUCUUGCAUCGGAAACUUUCCUAGUUUCCCCUACAGUAAUAGUGUCAAUAAACCCAUCCACAUCUUUACGAUGUGGUUCAUCUAAGGUACCCUCGAAGGGUAUUUUGCAAACCUUGCAAAAUUCAUCUAGUGGCAUCUUCUUAACAACAUCAUAUAAAUGAAACUCUACUGAAGGAGGUGUUUCUUUAGGAAAAUAGUAGAAGUUUUGCACAAAAGUAUUGGUGAGUAAGAGAUACUGAUGACGUUGGUCGCGGAGGAAGUCGGUGAGGCUAGCAUUCUCAGCCAAUGAAUAGAAAUCAUCAUAAAUCCCGGCUUUUCUCAAGAAAUCAUCGGAAGGCCAUUCACACGGCCGAACCUCCGCGGUGCGAGGCAAAUUAUAUUUGGGCCUCUGUGCUUCUUCACUUUGCUUUUCCUUCGAGCUUCGGCUCGAUGAGCCCCUCAAAAAUCUCUUCAUUAUUUUCUGAAAUAUUCUGAAAUUUUUAGUAACUUCAAAUAAAAGUGAACCAAGCUCAACAAAAUUGAUAGCAACUACUCCUACAAGUGCCUAGAGACUAUAUCAUGCAUUAGAACUACUUGGAACCAUAUAAAUUUGACAUGCAAGCUCAAGAACAUGGUCACCUAGGCAGCCCAAAUUUGCAAUGAACAGAACACUAGAACAAAAACUAAUUGGACCAAUGGAGGAGUCACAUACCAAGGAACAAUCUCCCCAAGCAGUUUUGUGAGAGGUGCUUUGGGCAAGGAGAUCGAAAAUCGCAGCAAAAUGAGCUAGAACUCGUGCUUGAGCUGGAUAUUGGUGUUUGUGUGAGGAAGAAGGAGUGUAUGGGUGCAGGAAUAAGUGGAGGAGGGCCACUGUGGGCCCACAAGACAGGGGGCGCGCCCUCCACCCUCGUGGCCAGGUGCUUGCCCCUCCUGCUAUGUUCUCUGUGCCAGAUAUUCUCAAAAAUUCUAGAAAAAAUCAUAUUCCAUUUUCAGGGCAUUUGGAGAACUUUUAUUUUCGGCGUAUUUUUAUAUUGCACGGAUAAAACAGAAAACAGACAGACAAAUACUAUUUUUACUUUAUUUCAACUAAAUAACAGAAAGUAGAAAGAGGGUACAGAAGGUUGUGCUUCUAGUUUUAUCCAUCUCAUGCUCAUCAAAAAGAAUCCACUAACAAGGUUGAUCAAGUCUUGUUAACAAACUCGUUCCGAAUAACAUGAAACCGGAGAAAUUUCGAAUAACACUAUGUUACCUCAACGGGGAUAUGCACAUCCCCAAUAAUAAGAAUAUCAUAUUUCUUCUUGACAGUAGGAAGAGGAAAUUCAAAACCUCCAAAAAUAAUCGAUGGAAUUUUUCCAAUAGAAUUGAUACUAUGAACUUGAGGUUGUUUCCUCGGAAAGUGUACCGUAUGCUCAUUACCAUUAACAUGAAAAGUGACAUUGCCUUUGUUGCAAUCAAUAACAGCCCUUGCGGUAUUCAAAAAAGGUCUUCCAAGAAUAAUAGACAUACUAUCGUCCUCGGGAAUAUCAAGAAUAACAAAGUCCGUUAAAAUAGUAACAUUUGCAACCACAACAGGCACAUCCUCACAAAUACCGACAGGUAUAGCAGUUGAUUUAUCAGCCAUUUGCAAAGAUAUUUCAGUAGGUGUCAACUUAUUCAAAUCAAGUCUACGAUAUAAAGAGAGAGGCAUAACACUAACACCGGCUCCAAGAUCACAUAAAGCAGUUUUAACAUAGUUUCUUUUAAUGGAGCAUGGUAUAGUUGGUACCCCAGGAUCUCCUAGUUUCUUAGGUAUUCCACCCUUAAAAGUAUAAUUAGCAAGCAUGGUGGAAAUUUCAGCUUCUGGUAUCUUUCUUUUAUUAGUAACAAUAUCUUUCAUAUACUUAGCAUAAGGAUUCAUUUUGAGCAUAUCAGUUAAUCGCAUACGCAAAAAGAUAGGUCUAAUCAUUUCAGCAAAGCGCUCAAAAUCCUCAUCAUCCUUUUACUUGGAUGGUUUGGGAGGAAAAGGCAUGGGUUUCUGAACCCAAGCCUUUCUUUCUUUACCAUGUUUCCUAGCAACAAAGUCUCUCUUAUCAUAACGUUGAUUCUUUGAUGGGUUAUCAAGAUCAACAGCAGGUUCAAUUUCUACAUCAUUGUCAUUACUAGGUUGAGCAUCAUCAUGAACAUCAUCAUUAGCAUUUUCAUUAGGUUCAUGUUCAUUACCAGAUUGUGUUUCAGCAUCAGAAAUAGAAAUACCAUUUGGAUUCUCAGGUGUUUCAGCAAUAGGUUCACUAGAAGCAUGCAAAGUCCUAUCAUUUUUAUUUUUCUUCCUUUUAGAAGGACUAGGUGCAUCAAUAUUAUUUCUCUGAGAAUCUUGCUCAAUUCUUUUAGGAUGGCCUUUAGGAUAUAAAGGUUCCUGAGUCAUUCUACCAGUUCUAGUAGCCACUCUAACAGCAUAAUCAUUUUUCUUACUAUUCAAUUCAUUAAGCAAAUCAUUUUGAGCCUUAAGUACUUGUUCUACUUGAGUGGUGACCAUACAAGCAUGUUUACUAAUGAGUUUAAGUUCACCUCUAACAUUAGCCAUGUAAUUACCCAAGUGUUCAAUCAUAUAGGCAUUCUGUUUUAAUUGUCUACCAAAAUAAGCAUUGAAAUCUUCUUGCUUAACCAUAAAGUUAUCAAACUCAUCCAAGCAUUGGCUAGCAAUUUUAGUAGGAGGGAUUUCAGUUUUAUCAUAUCUAUAGAGAGAAUUUACCUUUACUACCUGUGUUGGGUUAUCAAGACCAUGAGUUUCGUCAAUAGGGAAUGGAUUAGGAUCAUAUGUUUCUUCAACAGGCGGUAAAUUAAGACCAUGUAUUUCUUCAAUAGGAGGUAAAUUCUUAACAUCUUCAGCUUUAAUACCUUUUUCUUUCAUAGAUUUCUUUGCCUCUUGCAUAUCUUCAGGACUGAGAAAUAGAACACCUCUCUUCUUCGGAGUUGGUUUAGGAAUAGGCUUAGGAAUUGGCUCAGGAAGUGUCCAAUUAUUUUCAUUUGUCAACAUAUUAUUCAAUAGAAUUUCAGCUUCAUCCGGUGUUCUUUCCCUGAAAACAGAACCAGCACAACUAUCCAGGUAAUCUCUGGAAGCAUCGGUUAGUCCAUUAUAAAAGAUAUCAAGUAUUUCAUUUUUCUUAAGAGGAUGAUCAGGCAAAGCAUUAAGUAACUUGAGAAGCCUCCCCCAAGCUUGUGGGAGAGUCUCUUCUUCAAUUUGCACAAAGUUAUAUAUAUCCCUUAAAGCAGCUUGUUUCUUAUGAGCAGGGAAAUAUUUAGCAGAGAAGUAAUAGAUCAUAUCCUGGGGACUACGGACACAACCAGGAUCAAGAGAAUUAAACCAUAUCUUAGCAUCACCCUUUAAUGAGAACGGAAAUAUUUUAAGGAUAUAAAAGUAGCGAGAUCUCUCAUCAUUAGUGAACAGGGUGGCUAUAUCAUUUAAUUUAGUAAGAUGUGCCACAACAGUUUCAGAUUCAUAGCCAUGAAAAGGAUCAGAUUCAACCAAAGUAAUUAUAUCAGGAUCAACAGAGAAUUCAUAAUCCUUAUCAGUAACACAGAUAGGUGAAGUAGCAAAAGCAGGGUCAGGUUUCAUUCUAUCAUUGAGAGAUUGCUGCUUCCAUUUAGCUAAUAACCUCUUGAGUUCAUAUCUAUCUUUGCAAGCUAAAAUAGCUAAAGAAGCUUCUUUAUCAAAAACAUAACCCUCAGGAAUAGCAGGCAAGUCUUCAUCAUCACUUUCAUCAAUAUAAUCGGUUUCAAUAAUUUCUUUCUCUCUAGCCCUAGCAAUUUGUUCAUCAAGAAAUUCACCAAGUGGCACAGUAGUAUCAAGCAUAGAAGUAGUUUCAUCAUAAGUAUCAUGCAUAGCAGAAGUGGCAUCAUCAAUAACAUGAGACAUAUCAGAACGAAUAGCAGAAGCAGGUUUAGGUGUCGCAAGCUUACUCAAAACAGAAGGUGAAUCAAGUGCAGAGCUAGAUGGCAGUUCCUUACCUCCCCUCAUAGUUGAGGGAUAAAUUGUUGUCUUAGCGUCUUUCAAGUUCUUCAUAGUGACCAGCAGAUAUAAAUCCCAAGUGACUCAAAGAAUAGAGCUAUGCUCCCCGGCAACGGCGCCAGAAAAUAGUCUUGAUAACCCACAAGUAUAGGGGAUCGCAACAGUUUUUGAGGGUAGAGUAUUCAACCCAAAUCUAUUGAUUCGACACAAGGGGAGCCAAACAAUAUUCUCAAGUAUUAGCAGUUGAGUUGUCAAUUCAACCACACCUGGAUAACUUAGUAUCUGCAGCAAAGUAUUUAGUAGCAAAGUAAUAUGAUAGUAGUGGUAACGGUAAUGGUAGCAAAAGUAAUAUUUUUGGUAUUUUGUAGUGAUUGUAACAAUAGCAACGGAAAAGUAAAUAAGCGAAGAACAAUAUGUGGAAAGCUCGUAGGCAUUGGAUCGGUGAUGGAGAAUUAUGCCGGAUGCGGUUCAUCAUGUAACAAUCAUAACAUAGGGUGACACAGAACUAGCUCCAAUUCAUCAAUGUAAUGUAGGCAUGUAUUCCGAAUAUAGUCAUACGUGCUUAUGGAAAAAAACUUGCAUGGCAUCUUUUGUCCUACCCUCCCGUGGCAGCGGGGUCCUAAUGGAAACUAAGGGAUAUUAAGGCCUCCUUUUAAUAGAGUACCGGAACAAAGCAUUAACACAUAGUGAAUACAUGAACUCCUCAAACUAUGGUCAUCACCGGGAGUGGUCCCGAUUAUUGUCACUUCGGGGUUGCCGGAUCAUAACACAUAGUAGGUGACUAUAGACUUGCAAGAUAGGAUCAAGAACUCACAUAUAUUCAUGAAAACAUAAUAGGUUCAGAUCUGAAAUCAUGGCACUCGAGCCCUAGUGACAAGCAUUAAGCAUAGCAAAGUCAUAGCAACAUCAAUCUCAGAACAUAGUGGAUACUAGGGAUCAAACCCUAACAAAACUAACUCGAUUACAUGAUAGAUCUCAUCCAACCCAUCACCGUCCAGCAAGCCUACGAUGGAAUUACUCACGCACGGCGGUGAGCAUCAUGAAAUUGGUGAUGGAAGAUGGUUGAUGAUGACGACGGCGAUGGAUUCCCCUCUCCGGAGCCCCGAUCAGACUCCAGAUCAGCCCUCCCGAGAGGUUUUAGGGCUUGGCGGCGGCUCCGUAUCGUAAACGUGAUGAAUCCUUUUCUCUGAUUUUUUUCUCCCCGAAAGCAAAUAUAUAGAGUUGGAGUUGAGGUCGGAGGAGCUCCAGGGGGCCCACGAGGUAGGGGGCGCGCCGGGCGCGCCCCCCACCCUCGUGGCUAGGGUGUGGGCCCACUGGUCUUCAUCUUUUGCAAGGAUUUUUUAUUAUUUCCAAAUAGACGUUCCGUGGAGUUUCAGGUCAUUCCGAGAACUUUUGUUUCUGCACAUGAAUAACACCAUGGAAAGUCUGCUGAAAACAGCGUCAGUCCGGGUUAGUUCCAUUCAAAUCAUGCAAGUUAGAGUCCAAAACAAGGGCAAAAGUGUUUGGAAAAGUAGAUACGGCGGAGACGUAUCAAGCACAUAGCAGCCAGACGAUGGAUUCUGAAGAGCGUGUACCCGUGAAAGGUGCGGCCAUGUUCCAUCUCACGGGCGAGCUGAUGCUACCGCCGAAACCGCUGGAGGCACUAUCAAGGGAUCUCAGGAGACUGCACGACCAUGUGUUGUCGACUAAGAAAAGCCUACUAGCCUCAAAGGAUCCAGGAUAUCCGACAUACGCGGCUCGUGUGCCUAAGGGGAAGUGCUACGUCGACACACGGCCCGCGGAGGUGUUCUUCCUGCAGUUUGACCAUAUCUUUGAGAUGUUUCUGACAAGGCGGCUCGAUUUUACAAUCAUCCGCCUUUUGCGCUACAUAUGAGCUCCGUCAUGAAGAGAGAAGAAGUCUCGCAAAUCUGUGUGGCGGAUCCGUACUACAUGCACGAGUCUUUCUUGAGUCUCGGCGACUUUGAGCGUGAAACUGCUAGGGACUACCUCCAAAACUUCAUGGUACAAAAUAAGGACCAGGAAAUUGUCCUCCUGCCUUAUCAUCCAAAGUAAGUCAGUUCCGGACAACCCUUUCGUACAUUUCAAUCAUUCAUUCUCGCUCAUAUGGAGAAUAAUUUGAGGUGUCUUUUCCCCGCAGCAACGGGCGCGCCGUCCUUAUCGUUCUUUACCCGCGAGUCUCCCACGCCGUGUAUUUCGACCCUUCCAGAGACUACGAGAAAAAGGACUACACCCACAUAAUGAAUAUUCUAGAUGAUGCUCUCCAAGGCUUCAGCAUUAGAGGUGGACACAUGCAGAUCAGGAAACAAAGGAACAAGAAGAUGGGUUUCGCGCAUAAAAUUAACUUCUCCUGCAUCCAUGUCCCAAAACCAAGCAAGAAGGAUGGAUUCUACAUCGUCCAUCUCAUGAUUGAGUUCAACACGGAUCACCAAAAGCUUCGCAUGACAAGCAGAAAUGAUAAUCAUAUCCACAAGUGGCUAGAAUCUCAUGGAGAAGCGGAUUAUAAACUUAGAGAUGACUUCUUUCGCAUCCAAAGGGACAUUGCGACAAUCAUCAUGAAAGAAGUCGUCGAUGAGAAGGGGAUGUUCCACCACGGCCCUAUAUCGCGAGCUGACGUCCGAACUCGCAUAGGCAUGCAACGUCUAGACCUCACGUUGUUCAAGAAGCUAGGGUCCAUCCUCGAUGAUAUGGAAGGAUGGAACUUCUAGUGAUUUACGAUGCCGAUGAUGAUGAUAUGUGUCGGUUGAACUUGUAUACUUUCUGUAGCGAUGAAACUUUGUGAUGUCCACGGUCCCUGCCGAACUUGCGUAACGCUACUUUGUUAGUUUGUGUACGAUGACCUGCGUACCUCUAGUUAAUUAGUUUGCGUAUUGUAUGUUGCAUCUAGUUGCUAACCCUUUCUUUUUCGUGUUGCUCUAGUAUAUUUUGUUGCAUAUGAUUGUACAUCCUCUUGACAAAGAUGCAUCUCUAACAGGUACCUAGUUUCUUGAUGGUGAAGUGCUAUGUCGUGUACGAAGGGAAGGUUCCGGGAGUGUAUGACGAGUGGCAUGAGUGUCAGGCGCAAGUCCAGGGGGUCUCGGGCGCCAGCCAUAAAGGCUUCAAAAGCAGACAAGAAGCACAAGCUAGUUACCUGAGGUUCAGGCGAGCGCGAGAGAGGACUCAUGACCGUCGCCUCAUGUACUGCAUAGUUCCACUAUCACUCAUAGUGAUAGCACUUCUCGCGUAUAUCAUUGUUUAGAUGGAUGACGUUGUAGUUGCAAGUAUUCGAGACUUGCAUGUAUCGCUAUUUUUGAGAUGAUGACGAGAUACCACUUUGUGUUGGAUGAUGAUUAUGAUGAGACUAUUUGUAUGUAUAUGCUAUGAUUACAUUUGUGGUCUCGCAGCGAUUUGUAUGUGUAUGAUGAUGACAUUUGUAUGUGCUAAAGAUUCUUGUAUAAAGCCUGUUCAAAUACAAAACAAAUAUGCAGAAAAAAAUAAAAAACUACUAAAAUUAGCAGUAGCGAGUGGAGGAAAGUUAGCAGCAGCGUCACUAUAGCAGUAGCGCGUACGGCCAAAGCGCGCUAGAGCUAUUAGCAGUAGCGAGUUUCCACGCAGCACGCUGCUGCUACACUUGUAUAGCAGUAGUGCGGGCGCGCACGCGCUGCUGCUAUGGGUUAGCUGUAGCGCCCUAUUAGUAGCAUCGGUGCCCGCGCUACUGGUAGGCCAAAAACCCGCGCUGCUGCUAGGCUUUUCCCUAGUAGUGUUCGGUUAGGAUCAGCCACAUCGUAGGCUGGCUUUGCUUUCUUUUUUAAUGUGCUGGCUGUGUCAGCCUAUUAUGUUUGCUUUUAAGUAGGACUGGACGUGUUGGCUGUGUGCAUCUAGUUAUGCAGAGGCCGGGCUUUCUAUGAAACGAUUGUAUCACCUCGAUAUUUCAAUUCAAUGAAAUGCUCUUUAUCGAAAAAAUCUCAGCCUCCCAUUUUGCACAAAAUAAGGCAGCAUCAUGCUAUUCUGUUGGAAAGCCUUUUCAAGUGAUUCCUGGUCAAGCAUGCCCAUCCUUUUGAUGCCUAUAGAUGUUUGGCCAGUUAUAAGAUCCUGGAAGCCCUGUAGAGAAUGCAACAGGUCAGAAGGAGAAUGAAUUUCAGCUGUUAUGCAAAAUCAACAACAGAAGCACAUCACCAUCUCAUGGACAGAUACUGAAUCAAUGAGUUAACUUACACGUAUCAGUGCCUUCCGAGCAAGCUGCAACUCAUCAUUGGCAUUCCUUUCCUUGAUAACCAAAGUCUGUGCAAAUGAUUGUAAUGUAUCACAAUGCUCUUCUAGCUCCUGAAUUUGCUCAGCCAUUUUCUUCUUUGAUUCAGAGUCUUCAUCACCUUGCAUGUGCUCCAUUGCUUCCAAUUGGCUCUGCAGCUGUUUAUUUUCUAACUCAAGCUUCUGCUUGGCAUUCCUUUCCUCCUCUGAAAUGUGAAAUAAUAUAGCGACUUGUUUCCCCUUCCGCAUUAUCAGUACAGGAAAACACUCAGAUAGCUAAGCUUCUCAAAAACUAAAAUUGUAAAAAAAAAAUAGAUGUUACCUCAUUUUUCUCUUGCUCAUUGUUAGAGCUAAUUAGUGAAGCCAGUUUAUCAAAGGAUAGCUGCUUGGCACUCCUUUCCUGCUCUAAUAAUAGAGCGACUUGUUUCUCCUUCUGCAUCCUUUCCUGCUCUAACUCCAAUAAUAGAGCUGCUUCUUUCUCCUUCUGCAUCAUCCAUAUGGAAAAACACUGAGAUAACUAAGCUUCUCAAAAACUAAAAUUGCCACACACAAAAAAUGUUACCUCAUUUUCCUCUUUCUCAUAGUUUGAGCUAAUUUUUGAAGCCAGUUCAUCCAAGGAUCGCUGCUGGGCUUUAGUUUCCUGCUCUAAUAAUAGAGCGACUUUUUUCACUAUCCGCAUCCUUUCCUGGCGUAACUCCAAUAAUAGAGCGGCUUCUUUCUCCUUCUGCAUUAUCCAUACAGAAAAACACUCAGAUAACUAAGCUUCUCAAAAACUAAAUGUGCCAAAAAAAAGAUGUUACCUCAUUUUUCUCUUGCUCAUAGUUAGAGCUAAUUUGUGAAGCCAGUUUAUCCAGGGAAUAUUGCUUGGCAUUCCUUUCCUGCUCUAAUAAUAAAGUGACUUGUUCCUCCUUCUGCAUUAUCAAUAGGGAAAAACAUGAACAUGAGUAGGUCUUCACAACAACUAAAAUUUUAAGAAAAAAUUACCUCAUGUUUCUCUUGCUCGUAGUUCCUUAUCUGAGGGAUACUUUGCGGAUCUAGUUCAUCCAGAUGCUUGGAAACUGAGUCAAGAUCAUGCAUCUUGGACUCCAGUUCGGAACUAAGCUUUUGAUAGUCAUCAAUAAUCCUCUGCGAAUAACUACGAGCAAGCUUCUGCAUCUUGCGAAUUUCUGGGAAAAAAAGUUCACUUUGAAUAAAUUAUUGAACACGUGAAAGCUCAAAAUGUGAGCAGAGGAAUGCAUUCAUGCUGAUGAGCAGACUAUAUCAGAGCAUGUAAUGAUGCAAAUAGCAAAAGAUCAACACGAACGUUCCUUGUAAGACUGGAGGUGCUGCUUCCUUUGCUCCGCCAUCCUGUCAACAGGUAAUAUGGUUGUUGUCAGCAACAAGAAUGUGUCAAAUAGGUGUUUGUACAUCCAGCCUACGGUUUCGUGCUAAAUUCAUGAUUUCAAAGAUUGUAACAUUCUCUAUUUAGUAGAUACAAGGUUGUUCCAUAAGUAAACAACGUGAUAAAUUUGGAGAUUAGUUUGGAGCUUGCAAACCAAAUACUUGCAUCCAAACGGAUAUCUACCAAAUCAGGGUACCACCUACCAAAGCAUUUCAACUAAAUUGGCACCUAUAUUUUGCCAAAAAUAACUGAUUACAAAAAAACAAAAGUGACAAAUAUGGUCUUAAUUUGGAGCUUGCAAACUAAAUACUUGUACCCGAGCCAAUAUCUCCCAAAUCAGGGUACAUAGCUAUUAAUCACAAGAACAUUUCAGCUAAAUUUUCUACCUAUGGCUGAAAAUAGCCAAUUAAAUGGAAGGCUACAUAGAAUUAAAUGCAUAUGACAUCCAACGAGCAGUGCAAACACAAGAACAACGACUAUUUCCAACCAUUUGUUUUGAGCAUAAUUAUAAGGAUCCGAAGGCACAGAAAUCAUAAACAAAGCAUGCAUCUCACAACGAAAGGCUGCGGCCGUCGAAGCGUGACAAGGCAUGGACCGGUAAGAGAGAGGCCAGACCUAACUACCAGCUACCAAGAGGAGGCAUGGAUCUGCAAGAGAGAGACGGGACCUAACUACCAACUACCAAGAGGAGGGGGGCACAAGAGCAUGUCGGAGCAAAGGAAACCGCGGACAAUAGCAAUCCAUGUACAGAAAAAAUAAAAGGGUGCGUUUCUUCCCAAGCAUCUAGCUAGGUCGUGCCAAAUCUUGAGAGGCAACGAACUACACCUCACUCUGCCACUGCCUAUCCAUCCGGAAUUCAUAAACCCCGGCGGAUCUGGACGGGACCGAAUAGAACCAAGAAAGAACCCACGAUAGACUACGGAUCUAAACCCCUCCGGCCGUCUCCGUCGCCGGGGUCUCCUCGCGCUUCCCGUGCUCAGAGAACAAACGGCAGCGACUCCAUCCAUCCUCCCACUAAUUCACGCCGCGCAGGAAGUACCAUAACUGAAUGCAGCACCCGGCAAACACACCAUGGAGCGUAGCAACUAGGGGCGGGAAGAUACGAUCACCACCCGAGGUCGAUCGCCGGCGCCAGCGGUGGUUGGUGGCUGUAGAGGAGGAGGGUUUUUGCCUCUCUCCUUCUCCCCCUCGUUUUCACCUCCCCGAGUUUGCCGUUCAUUUAAAAGAGAGAGGUGGGGGUGGGCACUGCUUGGUAAACUUCCUCCUCGGCGAGGUGGUAUGUGAAAAGAACGUGGCAAGAAGAGGAAACGACCAGUCACGCGUCGCUUGAGUGGAUCGCCGUAUGCUCGGUCUGAUCAUCGUACACAUUCUUGCCAUUAAAUUGGCUGCAGUGCUGACUAUAUAGUACCACGGCAUUGGUACUGGGUUUUAAUGCCAAUUUUGGUGUUUUGGAUGCUCAUACUAUAUUUGACACCUGGAAUUCAAGACGAGCAAAAGUUCCAGUUCUUGUUUGAAUGGCCAAGUGUGAAAUUGCACAUGUUCCCGGUCGUGGGGUGUGGCCUCUCCUUCGUGCACGCACAUCUUAAUUUUUUUGAAUGAUUUAAAGAUUGCUCACCAUACUUGCCGCACGGUAAAUACAAUCAUCUUCACGAUUGCCUCUAGGAACAUUUACCAUGGAUUCUAAGAUAAACUCCUCGUGAACACCUUAUAUCUUUUUUUGAAAGAAAAGGUAGAUCAUGUUCUACCUUAUACAUUCAAAACAGACCGUAGCCUGAGUGACCAAGGUCUUUUUACAUGAAGGCGUUGUGAGCGCCGCACAGAGCGUGCAGCAGGCCAACGCCAAGCCUGGGAAAUAGAACAAGGAAAGGUAGGAAGGAAGGAAAGAAGUAAAGCAGGAGGCAGGGAAAGCUUGGCAGCUAUUCUCGCACCAUUACAUCAGCCCAAGAAGAUAAACGAUCCCUGACAUUUCCCUCGGAUGCUUGCAGUGUCCAUAACUUGAUCAGGUCGGCCACCUCAAAAAGAACCCUCCGAGCUGUCCAACACUUGUUGUGGAAAACUUGCUCAUUCCGAGCAUGCCAAAGCGCAACAGCAGCUGCUGCAAAGAAGACAUGCCAGACCGCGCCAUGUGCCUCCUUUGCUAUGUCAGAGGCCAAGAAAUCUGCUGUAGACUCACAUGAGACUGCCAAAUCCAGGAGGCCGGCCUUUGCCCAAACAGUUUGUGCAAGUUGGCAUCUAAGCAGUAUAUGAUGCGUAGUCUCGGCUGCUGGGCAUAAAUCACAUCCGUUGUGCGUUACUAGCCUCGUCCAGUGCUUCUUUAUCAUAUUAUUCCGGGUGUUGUGCCUGUCCUUGAGGGUCAGCCAUAAAAAGGCGUGGUGUCGUUUGGGUAUGAUUCGGUCCCAAAUGUAACGAGCCAACGGGCAGUCCCUGCCCCUGAACGUAAGCAUCUUGUAAAAAAAAGCCGUAGAAAUCUUGCUAUCAAACGCUAGCGGCCUCCUGAUGUCUGCUCUAGCAGUUGUUGGUGAGAUGCAGCUUAGUAACUGAGUUAGUCUCUCGAGCUCCCGCAGCGCUGUGUAAGACAAAUUAGGGUGAAGUUGUAUCGCCCAGUGUCCAGAAACGUACUGUGAGACAACUGUGCAAGACUUGCAUCUGGCAAAGGUGAAAAGGGUUGGAAAGGAGUGGGAUAGCCGGCCAUUCUCUAUCCAAAGAUCAUACCAGAAUGAUAUAGUGGUGCCAUCUCCAAGCUCACACCUUGUGGACUGUAUGACAAACUGAAUAGAAGAUUUGAUGCAGCGCCAGAUGGCAGUGUCCGUAUUGUGCACCGUAAGUGGUAUCUCUUUAUGACAAUAUGUUGAUGCAAACCAUUGGUAACAUGGGACGUCGCUGGGCUGCAGGAUCCUUGUCAUGACCUUGCUUAUCAUUGCCAAGUUAUGCGCAUCAAGGUCAGGUACGCCCAAUCCUCCAUUCUGCUGCGGCGGGGUAACAUAAUCCCAUGCCACCAGGCACUGCCCACCUUGUGUGUGGUUCUUUCCUUGCCACAGAAAACCCCUCAUAAUCUGCUCUAGCUGCUGUAAGGAUUGCUUCGGCCAGAUGAAGCAGCCCAUGAAGUAGCUUGGGAUCGCUACCAGAACAGCAUUAAUCAAAGUUAGCCGUCCUCCCCAAGAAAGGAAAGUGGCCAGCCAACCUGAGAGGCGUUUGUCCACUUUGUGAAUAACAGGCAUUAGCAGCCCAUGUGUGAUCUUGUGCGUUGAGAGGGGCAGCCCAAGAUAGGUGCACGGGAAGGCAGACGGUUGACACUGUAAAAUUUGAGCAAUAUGUUGACAAACAGCCGGGUCGACACAAAUAGGGACAAAGGAACUCUUCUGGAAAUUAAUUGAGAGGCCGGUGAAGCUUGAAAAAGAUUCAAGAACCCUCUUGAUGAUGCCAACUUGCUGUGUAUCCCCUUGUAUCAGUAGGAGAGUGUCGUCCGCGUANNNNNNNNNNNNNNNNNNNNNNNNNNNNNNNNNNNNNNNNNNNNNNNNNNNNNNNNNNNNNNNNNNNNNNNNNNNNNNNNNNNNNNNNNNNNNNNNNNNNNNNNNNNNNNNNNNNNNNNNNNNNNNNNNNNNNNNNNNNNNNNNNNNNNNNNNNNNNNNNNNNNNNNNNNNNNNNNNNNNNNNNNNNNNNNNNNNNNNNNNNNNNNNNNNNNNNNNNNNNNNNNNNNNNNNNNNNNNNNNNNNNNNNNNNNNCCGAGCGGAUGUUUGAGCAGGCCAGCUUGAUGCUCUCUAUCACAACACCUUUGUAGAACAUCAGCAACUAGUAUGAACAGAUAAGGUGACAGUGCAUCCCCAUGUCUGAGGCCACAUUUGGAUUGUAUAUCUUCUCCCAAAUUUUACCAUUAAGAAGGACUUGAGAGGAGCUUGACGUGAAGAUGUUAGAAAUCCAGUGGUUCCAACGGCUCCCAAAACCCCUUGCCUGAAAAAUUUGGAACAGGGCAUCCCAACUGACACUGUCGAAGGCCUUCCGAAAAUCGAGUUUCAGUACGAUCAUAGGUUUCUUUCUCUUGGCUCCUUGCUGUACCAGUUCAGCUGCUAACAUAAAAUUCUCAAUAAUGCAUCGCCCAGGUAAAAAACCUAACUGCAGCGGAUGAAUCAUGGCUGGGAUGAGGCGUUGCAGUCGUGCAGCAAGCACUUUGGUUAUCAGCUUGGGCAAGCUGUGUACCAAGGAGAUGGGGCGGAAAUCUCUGAUAUCCGUUGGUGCUUCUUUCUUAGGUAUGAGCACAAUGUUUGCUACAUUGAUGCCGUGAAAGUUGCUGCCCAGUUCAUAUUUUCAGUUGGCUUGUAAUGUAGUCUAGUUGCACAUAUAUUGAUGUUUAGUUGGCAGGACACUAGUUGCACACACAUAUGCUUAGUUGGCGCGGCAAUGUAGUCUAGUUGCACACGCAUUGAUGUUUAGUUGGCAGGACUAUUGGCACACACAUAUACUCAGUUGGCGCGGCAAUAUAGUCUAGUUGCACACACAUUGAUGUUUAGUUGGCAGAAGGAUUAUUGGCACAUGCAUAUGCUUAGUUGGCGCGACAUGUAGUCUAGUUGCACAUAUAUUGAUAUUUAGUUGGCAGGAAGACUAGUUCGUCGAAACAUCCCCAUAUGGGAUCUACUUUUGAAGAGCACGUCGCGAGGGUUCCAACGGUGAAAACGGAUCUUAAUUCCGAAGCGUGAUCUAAAAGUUAUGACUUUUUAAAAAUUUGAAAAUCCAAAAUAAAUGCGUUCAUAUCUGUUCUUUAUAGUACUUUUUUAGUAUGUGAUACUUUUUCUAAUUAGAAUUGUUUUAUCAAUUGGAAGGAACAAAUUACCUUUUAUGGAUUAGGGACCAAAAUUAUCUGUUUUAGACCGGCCGCUCGGGAUGACUAGCGAGCAGCCGGCCGCUCGCUAGAUCGGUCCAAUAUUAAAUCCGGUAUGUUGAGCGUAAACAAAUAGGCAAUAGUUUAUUGAGAGAUUAGAGUGGGCAUAUUUUUAGGAAAAAAAUACAACCAUGGUAAAUCAAUGAAAUCAUGAAAAACAAUCCGUUUAUGUAUGCACACGUAAAACAGAGCUUUUUUGGAGAAAAAAAUAAAAGAAAGCUGCAACAUUGUGCGUCCAACUCCUAAGCAAAUAGACCACCACAACUGUGGUCAUAUAGAAUUAGACUCGCGGGUUGGCAAAUAUUGACCUCGCCCGGUGAUUGAAGAAAAAAUGUAUGACACAAGGUUUGCAGAACUAAUUAUCAAAUUCAGCGGACGUCAUGCUACACGGUCAUGUUUACAAAACCAGGCAACAAAAAUCCAAUGAUAGUAAAGUGCAUUGAUGUUUUAAAUUGUGCACAGAGCAAGAAUUAGUACAUACUACCUCUGAACAGUACAACAGUUGAAAGGUUGUCCAUGGUCAUAAAAAGAGUCUUAUUAUCAUCCAAGUCGGUGCGAAUCAGAUGUGAAACCUGAGUGCAACCACUCUGUACUGAAUAGACAUGCCAGUAACUUUAUACUGGGAGUUAAAAGCACGCCAGGCCCAUAAACUUAUCCGCCCCGUGAUGGUUUGGCCCAACAACUUAUAAAAGCUCACUCCGCCACCCAGGAACUAUCCCCCGAUGUGCAAAAAAACCCAAGCCCAAUCCCGAAGCUACAUUUGGCGCCAUGCUGGCGCAGGUGGGCCGAGGCAGUCGUCACGCCACUUUGCAGAAACCCCCGUCACGCUGGAAUUAAUUAACCCGCACUCCACAGCUGGGUUGCACGCGGAAAAUAUACAAAUAGGGGCUCAUAUCGUUUCGUUCUCCAUUUUCCGCCCUUGUCCGUUCGUCUCUUUCGGCUGAACUCACGCGGUGGCGACGCUUGCAGUUCCGGAUGACGUCAGCCACCUUGGCGACGUCGCCGGCGAGCUUUACGGCCAUGGAGCCGCCCGAUUCCGUCGGUUGUGUGCGGGAUCCCGGAGCUUUUCCUCCCGAUUACGGUACGCCCCUAAGUCUGCAUCUUUCCCUCUCUUUGUGGUACUUUUUUUGGGGGCAGGGGUUUGGUAGGAUUCUAGAAAUAGACGAUCGGUUGGAUGAACGGGCUAGGACGAUCUGGACGGCGGGCGCGCGGCAUGUAGUGCUUUGUUGUUGUUUUGUGUGUGUUCUGAUGGAUGGAUGCUGGUUAGGGUUUGGCGGCCUCAAGCUUUUUCGGAGAGAAAAGUUUGUAAUUUUGGUGGAUUUCAUAAGAAAAGUAAUGAUUUUAUACGUUGUGAAUAUGAAUGUUCAGUAUUGGUACUUAUUUUAGCAUGUAUGUAAACUGCUGCUGUAUUAUGCUGUUGUGAAUCUACUGCCAUGCCCUGUUUUCUGUCAGCAUUUUAAACUGCUGCUUAUUAUGCUGUUGUGAUAUACUGAUUUGGGAGUGUUUCCUGUUGUUGUAAUGCAGUGUGUGAUGCAGCUAUGGGGAUGGCAGUGGACACUCCUUUUUUCACACUGGAAAUAGAGCACAAUGGAUUUUUCUGUGGACCAAACAGCAACAUUGAAUACACAAGUGCUACUGUUGAGACACUGGACUAUCUGAAUGCAAACACUUUCUCAUAUUCUAUGAUUGAAAAUCAUUUGAAAUAGCUAGGCUAUCCUGUCAGUGAGCACAAUAUAUAUUGGUGUAGGCCUGAUCAUUUUUUGUCAGAUGGUCUGAUUCCCAUUAGAGGAGAUGGUGAUGUUCAACACAUGUUGAAAUCUAGUGCAGAUCAUGAUUGAUCACACUGGCUUCAUCCAAGUUUGCAGAGCUGAUGUCAUUUACAAAGGAAGCACGAUUUCUAGUUCAAGGGCUGUUUCUAUUGGUGCAGUUUCCAGUAGUACAAUUGUUCCAGCUGUUGAGGAAGAACCUGUGUCAGAUAUUGCAGCAGAUGCUUAUAGUGCAGAACAUAUUCAGAUUGAAGCUUUUGAGGAAGAACAAGCAGAUACAGACUCAGAUUUUAGUGAUAGUGACUAUGAGAUAGAUGAGGGAGAUGAUGAUCUAUUUGAUGACAACAUAGACUAUGAUGUGGCUGAAGAACAUGAGGAGGAGGAGCAAGAUGUGGAUCCAGAGUAUGUUCUUGAAGAUGAAGACUUGCAUCUGUCCAGAGAAGAAGAAGAGAAUUUGAAGUAUAAGUUCAGGGCCUUCAAUGCCAAAGUUGACAUGAAAUCCCCUAUCUUCAAAGUGGGGAUGGUAUUUACUGAUGUAAAAGAAUUAAGACAUGCUUUGACUGCAUACUCCAUUAGGAAUAGAGUCCAAGUCAACAAAGUGAAGAAUGAGAAGACAAGGCUAGAUGCUAUUUGUGAGAGAGGCUGCCCAUGGAUGCUGAAAGCUGGAAAUGACAAUAGAACAGGAGGGUUUGUUAUUAAGGCAUAUUCUGGAGAGCAUAGAUGUCAAAAGAAAUGGAAGUUGAAGUUACUAACUGCAAAAUUCCUCACACAGUAUUUAAUGGAAGAAUUCAGAAAUGACCAGAAGAUGGCACUAGGAACAUUUUCAAGGAAAGUAACCUCUGAGUUCAAUGUGACACCAAACAGAUGGAAACUUGCUAGAGCUAGGAAACAAGCUUUAAAGGAGAUACAUGGUGAUGAACAUGAACAGUUCAACAGGUUGUAUGAUUAUGGAAAUGAGUUAAGGAGGUGCAACCCAGGAUCCACAUUUCUUUUGUCUACUACACUUGUGAAGGACAAAGAUUUCCCAAUGGGCAGGAAGUGUCUGAAACAAUUGUACUGGUCAUAUGAUGCUUGUAAGAGAGGUUGGCUUAAGGGUUGUAGGCCAAUAAUUUUCAUUGAUGGAUGUCACAUGAAGACCAGAUACAAAGGGGUGAUGCUUAGUGCUGUAGGAAUAGACCCCAAUGAUUGUAUUUACCCUAUUGCCAUGAGCUGGGUAGAAGUGGAGUGCACAAGCUCUUGGGAGUGGUUUUUAACCACUCUUAGAGAUGAUCUGAAUAUAAUAAACACUGCUCCCUUUACAAUCAUGAGUGACAAGCAAAAGGGUUUAAUAAAUUCAGUUCAAAAAGUUUGGCCAGAUGCAGAGCACAGAUUUUGUGUCAGACACAUUUAUCAGAAUUUUCGUGAGAAGCACAAAGGAGAAGUGCUUAAGCAGGAUUUCUGGGCCCUUGCUAGAUCUACACAUGAAGUUAAGUGGAGAGAGAACUGCAAGAAGAUGGAUGACCAUAGCUCUGCUGCAUUUCAUUGGACAGAAAGAUUGGAUGUGAAGACAUGGGUCAAAGCAUUUUUCAGUGUUUUCAGAAAAUGUGACAUCUUGCUCAACAACAAUUCAGAAGUUUUUAACAGGUAUUAGUUCACCACCUUUAUGUUAUAAGCUACCUAACUUAUCACAGCCAUUUUAGCCUUCUUAUUUGGUAUAACUUGAUCUUCUUAUCUGGUAUAACUUGAUCUGCUUAUCUGAUACAACCUGAUAGCUUAUCUGAUAUAAGUUGAUUGCUUAUUUGAUAUAAGUUGAUAUGCUUAUUUGCCAUACAAGUUGUUCUGCUGAUCAUUUCUUAUCUGUUUUUUUUUGUCUGGACAGUUACAUCUUGGAUGCAAGAGAAAUGGCAGUACUUUCAAUGCUGGAAAAUAUAUUCUACAAGAUAAUGCAUAGGAUGAUGAGCAAACAAAGGGAAGCAGUGGAAAAAUGGACAGGGAACAGGGUUUGUCCUAAGAUAUUGAAAAAACUUGAAAAAAAUACAGAGUAUGCAGCUAACUGCCAUGUUUCUGGAGCUGGACAAGAGCUAUUCAGGGUUCAAUCUGGCAACUCCAGCUACACUGUUGAUCUGUGUUUGCACACCUGUGACUGUAAGAGAUGGCAGCUUUCAGGGGUUCCUUGUGGACAUGCAAUUGCAUGCUCGAGAGAGGAGAGAAUUGACCCACAGACUCUGGUGCAUGACUGCUAUACUGUGCAAACCUACCUGAAGGCCUAUGGAUAUACCCUAGUUCCUCUAAGAGACCCAAAGAAAUGGGAGAAGGUAAAUGGGGAGAGAGUGUACCCACCAGUGUUCACAAAGCAAGUUGGGAGGCCCAAGAAAAAUAGGAAGAAGAAACCUGAAGAGAAGUUGAAAGGUGGAGUAAGAUAUUUGAACAAAAAAGGUGUCAGCAUGCAUUGCUCCAUAUGUGGGAAAGCUGACCAUAACAGAAGGGGACACUACAAGUACAUGGAAGCCCAACUAGGAGGAGGAUAUGAGAUGGAUGAAAAUUUUGAUGAUCCAUCAUUUCUGCAGGUUUGUCUCCAACUUUUCUCUUCAAACUGUGCAUAAAUUUAAGUAGUUGGUGUCAUUACCCUGAUUUACUUAAGUCAUGUUCAUUUUGUAUGUGCAGAACAUAUUCCCUCACUUGGCAAACCCUAUCCUGGAUCCUAGCCAAGAACCAGAGUCUAUGGUUUUCAGCAUGGCACAAAGGCAGAGGUCAUACAGAGCUCCCAAUAGAAACCAUGGCCCAUUGCCAGAUCAAUCCUCUUUUGUUGCAGCUGCUGGUGCUGCAAUUCCCCAGCCUAGAGUUGUUACAACUGAAAUGAACAUAGGCAGGAUUACAAGGGCAACAAGAGGAAAUGAUCAAGCUGAAGGAUCUGCAGCAGCUGGUAGAGGUAACAAAAGGCAGAGAGGUGUUGGAAGAGGAAUAUCAACAGGUGCUGGGAGGGGGAGAGGAAGAUCAACAAGUGCUAGGAGGGGGAGAGGAUCUUUAGGCCUUGGGAGGGGUCAAGAAUUAGGUGUUGGCACAUCUUCAAGCUUUGUCAGGGGUCAAGAAUUUGGCAGGGGAGGAUUUGGUGUUGGCACAUCUUCAGGUUUUGGCAGGGUUGGCACAUCUUCAGGCUUUGGCAACGGAGGAUUUGGUGUUGGCACAUCUUUAGGCUUUGGCAGGGGAGGAUUUGGUGUUGGCAGCGGUGCGUAUUACAUGCUUUUUGGAGAAGACAUGCCAACACAAAUCCCAGAUCUGAAUGGGCAGCUGAUGUUUGAAUUAUCCUUGCAAGUUCAUGAAUGUACUUUAUUUUGUGGCAAGUUCAUGAAUGAACUUUAUUUUGUGGCAGCAAAUGUAAGAGUUCAUGAAUGAACUUCCUUUAGUGAUGUUAGGAUGACAGCAAACUCCAUGGUGCUGCUUUUAAGAUUAAAUGUAUUUUGUGACAGCAAACUUCGGGAUUGGGCUUGGGUUUUUUUGCACAUCGGGGGAUAGUUUCUGGGUGGCGGAGUGAGCGUUUGCAAGUUGGUGGGUCAAACCAUCACGGGGCGGACAAGUUAGUGGGGCUGGCGUGCUUUUAACUCUUAUACUGGAGACAAUGUCGCACCAGGCCUUUUAUUAAUGAGGAAGUUUAAUUAACAGUGUAGGUAGUUUUUUUUUUUGCGGGAAACAGUGCAGGUAGUUAAUCCAUACACAACCUGAUUAUAUUACUCCCCGUGAUAAAGAGUUGCGUUUCUACGAUGUUUCGUAUUCUAUACAUGCAACAGGAAUUUUCCAAGAAAAUUAAUUUUAAGAAACAACUAAAAUCAUAGUAGGGAUUUUUUUUUGAUGGAUUUGAAAGUGUUGUUCUUCUAAGCCUUGGUGCAUUGCACCCUCUCAUGAACAAUAAAUUUGAACAAGAUAGAAAACAAAAUUUAAAAAAUCUCAAAUUUUCUGACAUCAAAUACACUCAAACUUUUUUAGGUGCUUGAAUUUCAUCCAGAAAUAACAUUCGAGGAGCUCUACAAAAAAUGUUAGUGCUCAAUGUUUUGAGCUCUACAAAAAUGAUGAGCACUCAACUUUUUUAACCUUUUCAUUUGUUUCAUCACAGAGCUCAUUGACGUUUUACAUGUCGAAGUCAUCCUCUUUGUUUGGAAAGGGCGAUGAUAUCUUUGUGUAGGUCCGUCUGAAAGUUGGCGGAGUUGGCUGUGUCAUGGAGGAAGGGACGGCCGCCCCGGCAUCGCCCUUCGUUUUCUUCGGCACUUGAGACUUCUUUACCGCGGCAGCUGGGCGGCGUGGAUCAGAUGGGCUGCGGUGCUGCCCCACUUGGUUGUGGUCUCAAACAGACUUGACUGCCGAUGACAACCAGCGAUCGAUGAACCCUGGCCGGUCACACCGGCCGGGUGGGAGGCUGCAGGGGACCCGCACCGGGAGGCGGGGGUGGCGAAGCUGCGCCAGGAAUCUACAGCAACGACGUGGGAUCGACGGCGGCGGCAGCAGCUGUCGCAACGACAACGACGUUCGAGGCCAUGGCAGCGAUGUGGAUGCAAUCGGGCGGAAGCACGCGAUGGCAAGAGGCGGAGGAUCAUGUGAAACUUCACACUGAAACUGGCGCUACCUUCCCAUGAGGUAAUGCUACACGUACAAAAGGAUACGGGCUUUUACAUAAAUGUGGGUUUUGAUCCAAGAUUAGGGGGGAGGGGUCCACCCCCAUGAAAAUCAGGGGGAGAGAUUAGUUAGUUUGAAAAGAUCCUAGUCAGCAUGUAAAAGCAUGUAAACCUUUGUAUGUUUAGCAUUAUUGAUCUUUCCAUACAUGUGCGAGAAGUUAGGGCAAAUUACAGGACCCCGUAAAAAAAGGACGUCGAUAAAUGCCACACGUGUGGUGUAUCGGGUGGUUGUGCCGCACGCCCUGUGUGGCAUGGAGACGACCCCGCCCGCACGACCGCGUCCGGGCGCGCGCAGCCACAGACCGCACGUCCGGUGCAGCGCGAUCGCCCCGCACGAGCACGUACGGGCGAGCGAGCACGCGGCCCGCACGACUCGUCUCGGCCGUCGCCCCUCCCCGCCUACGAGCCACACGCCCCGCGUGUCAGUAACCACGCGUCCCGUCGCGAUUGCCAUGGUCCGGACCCUCUUCAGUUGCCAUGUUGCCAUGUUGCUGAACUACAGUUGCCAUGUCGGACAACUACAGUUGCCAUGUCGGACAACUACAGUUGUCAUGGUUGCUCAACUACAGUUGCCAUCUUAGGUCAAAGUGCCGGAGGCCAUUUUUGGGCAACUGCAGCUGUUGCCAUGUAUGGUCUGGUCUACUACAGUUACCAUGAUUUGAAAAACUUUACGAAUUGUCACCUACUAACACUGGACAGUUGCCAUGUAGCACUAAAAAACAUGGCAAAAAACAUGUUUCGGGUAAAGAGAGAGUUGCCGUCUGCUUACAAGCACGCUAGAGGCAGUUGCCAUGUAUCCUGCAAAAACACAUGGCAACUGAUAGCUUUUGGUGUGUGGAAGAGGAGACGGGCAUGUGGGCGAUGGUGGUAUCUUUAAGAGUUGCCACCUACUAACACUAGACAGUUGCCAUGUAGCGCUACAAACAGACGUGGCAACAAUAACAUGUUCGGGCGAAAGAGAGUUGCCAUCUGUUUACAAUCACAAAUAUGGCAGUUGCCAUGUACCCCUCAAAAGACAUGGCAAAUGACAGUUUGGGUGUGGGAGAGUGGGAGAAUGGGCAGUCGUGGGAGAUGGGGAACAGAAGUGGUGCGUGGCGUGCGGGCGCGACAUCAGUUUCAUCGCACGCCCCGACCGGCGAACCGUUGACCGCGGAGAGAAAACGGCGUGCAGGCGAACUCCCUCACACGCCACACACACGAGUUAUCCUACAUGGCACACAAAUUCAGUCGUUUCAUGCCAAGAUUCAUGCAAAAAGCGCUGGACGGCGAUGGAGGCGUGUGGGUGAGUUGGCUAACGCCCACACGUGUGGGCGUUAGUGUUUUCAAAAAAAUGCGUUUACGGGAACUGUUAGAAGGCCUUUCCUCCUAAAUGAUAGUUUUUAUGGAUAUGGAAGCUAUUGGAGAUGCUCUAAUGCCACACCGCCCCUUUGACCGCCACCGGUUGGAACCAUGAGAAAAUAGAGGCAUGGCGAGCAGAGAGGAGGCACAUCAUGGUCGACUAUUGAGAAAGAGAAUAUGGGAUACGCGAGGUGUGGCGGUGGAGACGGAGAGGAAACAUGAAAAGUACUACCUUCGUCCGGGUUUACUAGUCUCCCCCAUAUUUUCAGUCAUAUUUUGACCAUUAAAUUUAACUAGUAAAAUAUAAGUUAUAUGUAAUAAAAAUAAUAUCAUCAUUAUUAUUAUUAUUAUUAUUAUUAUUAUUAUUAUUAUUAUUAUGACAUACAUCAAUACAUUAAUAUUCUGCUAGUCAAAUAUGUCACCUCCUGGUUAAUCGGCUGUCAAGCCAAAAAAAAACCUGUCAAAAUCGGAUCUUUGCAGGUUUAAAGAUUGCAGUAUACAUGUCCCGUCUAAAAUCCCCAUCACACAUGUAUAUAUCUCGUCUGGAAUACCCAAGUCCAAGUGAAUGGAUGAGUGAAAUGCAUUGUAGGUCCCUUGAAAAAAAGUUUGUGAAUGAUGAAUUUGGAAAAGAUGUUCGCAACUUAAAAAAGAGUUCGCGAACGAUAAAUUUUAAAAGAAAAGAAAAUAUGUUCGCGAACGAUAAAUUUGAAAAUAUGUUCGCGAACAACAAAUACUGUUUGUGAAUAUGGAAAAGUGUCGCGAACGAUUAAUUUGAAGAAAAGUUCCCAAACGAUGAAUUUAGAAAAAAUGUUUUGCUACUUUAAAAAAGUGUCUCCGAACGAUAAAUUUUAAAAGAAAAGAAAAUAUGUUUGCAAACCACAAAUAUUGUUCGUGAAUAAUAAAUAUGAAAAUAUGUUUGUGAACCAGAAAAAAUGUUCGCGAGUUUGGGAAAAAUGUUCGUGAGUUUAAAAAAAUGUUAGCAAACAAUGAAUUUUAAAAGUUUGCACAAAUUUAAUAAAUGUUCCAUCAUUUUUUUAAUCUUUUAGUGAUUUUGAAAAAGUUUUCGAGUUUAAAAAUGUUCAUGAAUUUGCAAAAAUAUUUGGGGUUAAUAAUAAAUCUUCAUGAAUUUGAUGUUGGCGAACAUUUUUUUUAAGGUCGUGAACAUUUUUUCCAUAGUCACGAACAUUUUUUUGAAACCAUGAAUUUGAAUAUAUUUGGAGUGAAGUGCAUUUAUCAUUCCCCAGAAUUUAUUUGAAUUUAUUUGCUUAUUUCGGUAACCGGACGUUAGCUUCCAGGCCCCCUGUCCGAUGUGUCACGGGCCAACAGCGCCGGCUGGCCGGUCAGACAAAUUUUGGACCUAAAUGACACACUUACUGCAUUUUGAGGAUCUGGAUACCGAUUUUCAUAGUUUGAGGAUCUAGAUGACACACCUAAAGUAGUUCAGGGACCUACAGUGCACUUCACUCUAAAUGGAUGGAUGGAUGUAGCAAUGAAACGUACACAUCAGUGUGCCACACAACGAGUGAUUCAUGCACAGACAUCACCAAAACUUACAUCAUGUCUCGAAUGCUAAACGCAUUCCACUGAUUUCACCUUCACAAAUCACAAGGCACGGACAACUUAUAAUUUUUUUCCUCUGUUGCCAAACCUAGUUCUCUGAACGCAAGGAUGCUGCUGUGCACAACCAGUUACAGGAGAGAAACCUAGUUCUCUGUUAACUUCACAGACUGCUGCUUUCGCGUCCAUCAUCGCCAUCAUCAUCAGUUUACUAUUACUGUAGUACCAAGCGCGCAAGCAAAUGGGGUAAAACCCCAAAAGGGUUUACUCCUUCUACCAAGCUAGAAACAGUCUUAACCUUUCUCGAGUACUAACUCUUUUUAACAACAGCCAGUUGUGCCUGAGUUCUGUUGCCAAAGAGACGGGUAACUCCGCCUGCUAUGCAUAGUUACCGUUGGCGCUACGUGUUGAACUGAUCGCUUCAAAAAUUACAGUACCUGGUCACAAGGGACCGGCGCAGGACGAAGAAAUAAGCUGGAAUCGCCAACACAAACAGAGCUUAUAAGGUCAGAUCUGCCUCCUGCUCUUCCUGUUGAUCUUCCCUCGCCAGUCAGCAAUGGGCAGCUGAGACGCAAACUUGUAUUGGUAACUUAGAUUAAUCAACUUCCGCACCUAUAAAAAUGGUGUAUAUCAUUUUCUCGAAAAAAGAAGAAGAAAUGCUGUACUUGAGAGUUAAAAAAGAAGGAAUGAAUAGAUGAUGUACCUGAUGUGGACGCGAGAGCGAUAUGUGUGACCAGUUUGUGGCGCUCAUCACUUUUCAACUUCUCUCCACAUGCAGCAGGACGAUUUCUUCAGAGGAAUAAUCUGCAGGGCACACAGCCUCUUAUAUUUCACCCAUAGAGAUGACCACCACAUUUCUCCCCGGUUUUAGAACUAUUAAAGGGAAACCUGAAGCAUAUUUCAGCAUGAGCUGCUUUUGCUUAUAAAUUUCUCCCGAUAACAGGCACGACUUGGUAAUCUAAUUUAUUCCGAUUACAUAUAUUUGCUCUAGAACAACCACAAAUGGCAGUUAAUCAGUGGUAAUAACAACCAAACAAAGUGGGAUGCAAUUCUGCGUUUGCUCUUCUUUUCUCUUCUGUUCUGUAGACGGUCUGCAGUUAAUACAGACACGGCUGGACACCUUCAGUUAUGCAUGACGUGGUCCUGUAUAGCUUUCUUACUCGAUUACAAAAACAAUUCUCCCUGCAUUACCAAAACAAUUCGAUCAGCUUCAACUCACUACAAACCGAUGUAACAUAAAUGAACCUAAGAAACAAAUUUAGUCAAGGUCGCUGUAAAAGGUUAAAAUUGCUGCUGAACCGGCUUCACUCAAAAGCUAAAUUAAGAGGUAGAUAAUUCACGCCAUGAAGAAGAAACAUCUUGUCAAAUCUCGGUUCUACAGAGCACAAAAUAAUAACAGCAGUUGCAUAUUCACUAAAGCGCGAUAGUUCUUGAGACCAUAUCGUUGAACUGUCAUGCAAAAUCAACUAAAGCUAUCUAGAAACACUGUUGCUUUGCACAACUAAAGUUUAAACAAAUCCUAUGUCCAUUCUGCUUCUUGGGACUAGGAACUUCUCAAAAUGAAACUUGGGGUACCAAAGCUAAUUGGACAUAUCACAUCUCACACAGUCCAUUCUGCUUCUUGGGACUAAGAAAAAAAAUCUCACCAUAGAAAAAACUGAACUGAAUACAAUGAAUUGCUAAAGAUUCUGUCUAGUAAUAAUCCCAUACCAAGCUACGCCGAAACACAAUUUAAGUUAUGUAAGAAAAUCAUAUUCCAGGUUUUAUGUUCAUAAUCUCAAACAGAGUCCGUGAACAUGAGCAUACAAGUCACCUCUUCAUCAUAUGCAUGUCCGUGAAACAAUUCUACAGCAUAGCUCUAUAUAUUCAUAAAAAUUAGCACUUCUAUAAAAGAAGCCUGUAUCGUCCCAAAUAGAUUCAAAGAAUUCAGUGAUAGUUACUAACCUUAGUAGUUCUCAUGAUAUCUCCUUGCAGAAUCUAGAGCUUUGAAGAUACCAACUCACGACUGGUGCAAAUAGCAUGUUCAUAAAAUUCUCUCUCCAGCAUCUAAGACCAUAAACAUGGAUUCCGUUCUUCAAGAUAUGAUGUUUGUACAAACCAAACUCCAUAUCUGGAGUCAAUCUUAGGGACCAGGCAGCUGUGAGAACAUAUCUCCUUACAUCUCGGAGGUAAAUAUGCUGUUUCACACACACCCAGCUUCACAGAAAAAUCCCUAUGUAUGUGAGCCCUUAUUGGGUAAGCAUUUCAAACUCUCACAGCCCUCAACAGAGACGGUUUCCAGUGAUGAGAAGUCUCCCUGAAUUGACUCUAUUAACCUCAACUGGUCACAGAAUCGAAUAUCAAGAUGGCCAAGUUUAUGAAGUUGCCCUGACAGGACCUCAAGUUUAGGGCAGUCCGUGAUAAUUAUUGUCCUCACAGAUGAUGGGAGAUCAAUAAUUUCUAGCAAUCCUUCACAAUAUGCUAUCCAAAGAUAUUCUAAACAUGGUAGGGGACGAUUCACUGUUGAUGGCAAUGAACCUGGUACAGUUGUGAAUGCAGUAAAUUUACUGCAAGAUUCUGACAAUUCCAGGUUGUUCUGCUGUUCAAAAUACUGGCUCCUUAUUUGUUUAUCCAGCUUUCCCCAUAUAAACUCAAGCUUAGGGCAACUCCAAAUGUGUACUUCCUUAAGAUACAAGGGAAAAUCGAGAAGCUCUACCAAACUUUGACAACUUAUUAGUGUUAGAGAUUCCAGGCAUGGUAGAGAAUGAUUCCUUGCCAGAGACGAGGGAUCUUGUUCAAUUGCAGAGGCACUAAGGCCACUACAGGAGUCUGAUAAUGUCAAGUCAUCUGGGUGUUCAACAUAAAAACUCUGACUUUCAGUACUCUGCUUACCCCAUAUGAACUCAAGCUUACUGCAUCUCUCAAUAUAUAGUUCCUUCAAUGAUGGAGGAAGGCUGAAAAUCUCAACCAAGUUUGGACAACUUUUUAUUUCCAAAAAUUCAAGACAUGGUAGGAGCUGAUUUCCUUCGGAUACUGAUUCUUCAAGAAUCUUUGCAGAUCCAAUAAGAUUAUUGCAACAAUGAACUGUUAAUCUGUUCAAGGAUACCAAGCAUUGGAGCUCUUUUAAUGGCCAGUACAUAAGCUCAUCACAAGAAAUGAUUUCCAGAUAGCUAAGGUUUACAAAAUAUUUCCAGCUUGUGUGGAAGAAAUAGCUUCCACAUAGCUCCAUAGCUGAAUGAGAAGAUCUAUGGUUCCAUUUCCCCUUGCCAUCUACCUGUUGAAUUGAACAUUGAACGUGCGAGGGAGAAUAAGGUGCGAUUUUCAAUCUUGCAUUGGAAAAUGCAGUCAUAUAUCUGGCCAUGGAUAACCAAAUCAGUGGCCUAUCUUCUGGAAACGCUAAUACUCUAAGCCUUGGUGCUUCAGGUAGAGUUGAUAGCUCUGGACAAUCUAUAAUAUUGGCCUCCUCAAGCAGCGGAAAUGUUGAUUGUUCUCCACAUAUUUCUUCUUUUUUUCCCCAUUUUCUCAAACUCUUCAAGCCAUGUAACAUGAGUUUCUUUAAUGCUGGAAAUGCUGAGCGAGCCAUAUUAUCAUUGCAGCUAGAAGAUUGUCCAAGCAUUGGUGGUUCUGGUAAGUUUGUCAGCUUAUUGCAUCUCCCAAUUGAUAGUUCCUCUAGAAGGGGAAACAACAAUUGGUGUCCAUGUCUUCCUUUUACUUCCCACCAUCCAUUCAAAAUCUUCAAAUCAAGUAACACAAGCUCCUUCAAUUUCGGAAAUGUUGAGGAUGUUAAAGUGCCUCCAUCACCGAUGCAUAGGCAGUGCAACCUAUCCAUCCUUUCCAAAUAAAGAACCUGAAGAGCUGGCAAUUGCCACAGCUGGGGAAGUCUGUCACACAUUGUGCAACUGACUAGGCUCAACUUGACUAGAUCUUGCAUCACACUCAGGUUUGUCAUCCAAGUUGGAAACCUAAUGCUUCUAUAGGAAUCCACCAGUAAAAUCUGAAGACCACGGUUAGGAGUAAAAGCAUCUAGCACCUUUUCAUGAAAAUCAACUUCACUGCAAUCAUUCUUCCAUGCAAAAGAUAGCUGAGUGAGGUCCUUUUUACCCCCAUGGUUACCCAUUGUUAUAUCUGCUUCUGUUACAUUUUCUAGAUGGCAUAGCUGUAGCUGACCUCGAAGGUUCAUGUGCCUCAGUUCUCCAAUGCUACUACAGCCAGAGCUACAGCCUACAACAAAAUAUGUCAGCGUCUGUAGGGAAGUUAACCAUCCAAGAUUUGGAGGCAUGCACUUUAAGGACAGACAUCCAUCAGUAUAUAGGUGCCGAAGGCCAGUCAUGUACUUCAUAUCCUUUGGAAGUCCACUAAGACGUUCACAUCCAGAAAGGUUCAACGUCUGUAGGUUAUACAUGAUGCAGAUUUCUUCAGGAAGUGCCUUGAUAUGACAAUUGCCGGAGAGGUCGAGAUACCUGAGGUGCUUCAGGUGCUUUGGUACAAAUGGAAGCCCACUCGACCUGUAGUAACAGAGCUGCAGUGCUCGAAGAGAAGUGCAUUUUGAUAAAUGUCGUACGGAAUUACUAGCAUCAAUACUGCCCAACAUUGUCUGGAUACCUGAACAUGUUUCCUUCAGUGUAGCACUCAAGAAGGUUCCAGGACCAUGGGAUGAUAAGAACAAAUGGCGAACAGUGUAUGGCAAAAUCUCCAUAUAGUUCAGCCUCUCCUCUAUAGUAACACAUUCUUUUCCCAUCACAGACAGUGCAACAUCAUGCAUAAGAUCAUGGACAGUACAUGUGGUCAUAUAGUUGUUUCCACUUCCAUCCUGGUUUACAUCUUGAAAGAAUGACCUUGAGACAAGCUCAUUGAAUAUUUGUUUACCUUUUGUUUCUGGACGGAUUGCAUCUUCUGAUGGAAUGAAGUCAUUUGCCAUCCAUAACUGUAUCAGUUUUUCCACAUUAAUCACAUAAUUUUUUGGAAAGACGGCACAAAAGGCAAAGCAUUGCUUCAUGUGUGCAGGUAAAUCAUUGUAGCUGAGCUUGAGUAUAGGUAAAAUCCCACUCUCCUCAUCACAUAUACUGCUUUUUUUUAACACAGCUCCCCACUCUUCCACGCUUUUUUGGUUGCUUAACAUAGAUCCCAAUGCUUUUGCGGCUAAAGGGGACCCAUGGCACCUGUCCACGAUCUCCUUGCCAAUCUGAACCAGCUCAUCAGGCUUUUGUUCAUUCAAUCCAAAUGCUCUUUUCUCAAAUAUUGCAAGCAAAUCUUUUUUGUCCAUCUUUACCAAUUGAUGGGCCUGAGCUGUUCCCAUGAUUUGAGCUACUCUUUCAUCACGAGUUGUCAUCAAUAUUGCACUCCCAGAACCACCACACUGUUGAAGACAGUAUUUUAGCUUUGCCCACUUAUCAGUAUCGCGAUUCCAUACAUCAUCCAAGACAAGGAGGUACCUCCUUCCACUGAUUUCUUGCUGAAGCUUCUCCAGUGCACUUUCACUGUCUUUCUCGGUUGACAUACUGAUCUUAUUAGCAAUGGCUGUAACAUCAAAAUCAUCCAAAACACACACCCACUUCCGGAGCUGGAAAUGCUUUUGGAUAUCAGGAUCAUUGUAAAUGAUCUGUGCAAAAGUGGUCUUCCCCAAACCACCCAUUCCAACAACUGGAAGGACCAAUACGUCCUUGUUUGUAGAAUGAGCAAGCAACAUGUCAACAAUCUUCCACUUCUCUGCCUCUCUGCUGAUAAUAUUCUCAGAGUCAAUGAUGAUCGAAUCUGUCUGUCGCCACUGCUUGGACGCUGGCAUUUCUUGUCGAUAUUUGAACCCAAAGGCAUUCAUCUCAGCAACGAGAACCUCAAUGGUAUGCACAAUCUUGCGCAGCUUCUUGCCCAUCCUGUAACGAAACAGAAUAGGGCUGUGAGCCGGGCGGAGCAUUACUGCAUCAGUGCUGAAUUUGUUGUCUUGCCCCUUCCUCUUCGCUUCACGGCGGAGCGCUUCAUACUUGAACUCAUCGAAAACAUCGUUAGCUUUGUACGCAACAGCCUUGAGUGCUUUGAGCCAAGCACUCACCCCAGGUCGGUGAGUCCCCUGCUCCUCCGCGUCAGUUAUGACGUCCAAUAUGGCUGGCAGCUUGCGCUCCAGAACUGCGAGCUGCUCUUCCAUACCAUCCAUCUCCUGGUAUUGCCGAACAAGAUAACUGGACACCUUCCGGUUCACCAUGGAAAUGAGAGGGGCGAGCAGUAUGCUUGUUGCCAUGGGCACAAAAAUUGCAGAAUAAACUAGCUAACUCAGAGUGGCAACAAGAGACCAAUGGAGAUGUGCUCAAUCAUGAGAGAGAGAGAGAGAGAGCGGGGAGGCUUGAUGAACUGACAACCAGUUGCAAACAAAACAGAAUAAACACAAGUGAGAGUGAAAGAAGUGAUAUUUUUUUGGAAGUCACAGUGACAUUUGAGGCAGGAAGGAACCAUCUCCUUAUCUCAAACAUGUCUCUUGACUUGACUUACUGUUUUGAGUCAGUCUACCACUAGCUCCAUUCUUAAGUACCUGAUAUUCUAAAAAGCGAGCAGUCAAAUUUCCAUAACUUUUGAUUAAUGAUAUGUAAAUGAAUUAUUUUGAUUGUUCAAAAAAUGGUACCAUCAGAUUUGUCCUGAAACUAUUUUUAUUAAUGCAUUUUAAAUUGUUUUACUAACAUAUUCAUAUGAAUACAAUUGUCAAAGCUACAUCUCGUAGAUUGUGUGCAUAUCUGUUAAAUCAUGUAUUUGGCAGUGAAACAAACAGUUGCUGCAUUUGUGGGAAAGUUGAGCAAUGUGUGGCUGCGAGCCAAACAUGCCCGGGGUAUGGAAUUGGGGCCCUCCCACGAACAACCACUGUCAAGUGUACUUUGAUUGUAGGAACUUGAGAGCUAACUUUUUAGUGUAUGCUACAUCCGACUCCUAAUUUUGGUCCUGGUGUACGUACACAGCAAGGAUUUGGCUAAUACCCAGGUUCUGCUGUUUCUUUUAUUUAUCGGUAAUUCACCGCUAAUUUGGCAGUUACUGCCUCCUAGAACCAAGUAUGGACAAUUUACAGUCGUUACUAGUAGAUACUUAGGCAACAUGUGUAGAACUCCAGGGAUAAUUUCAUGGGCUGAUUAGGCAUCGCCUACUUGCUCGCAUGUGAAGGUGUCGCGCUAGACUAAUGGAAAUACACAUUUGGCAACCCUUACACUCUCCCCUCUUUGACUGCAACUGCAAGUUUGCAACACACAUGCAGCAGCGUUGUGGCAUUUCCACAAACACCUCAUCAGCAUAAGGAGGCCCCUGCCGAUGAACUCGACUUUGAACUAGUGGAAUUGUCACAAACCUAGGACGAGACGCAGAUUCUAGGAUGGCGGUGACGACUUCUUACCAAUCUGGCGCUGCUGGAGCCGGACACUGCGUCGUCAGGGUCCUUCAGGUGGUAGACGAGCCGCUCGUUCUGCAUCGCCAGCUGCUGCGCCCUCCCGCCGCCGGGGCCGCCUAGGUAGGCGGAGGAGAAGGCGAGGUUUUUUUUUUUGAGGGGAAGGAGAAGGCGAGGUGGCGGCGGUGCAGGGGAGCGAGCCGUGGGCCCUCCGCCUCGGCUGUUACGCAGAGACAAGAAUGGCGACCCAGACAGUUUACGUGGUUCGUGGGUUGUCAGAUGUUCUGGGCCCUUCUUGGUAGGUUUAGGCUUCUGUAGGCCCAACUCUUCCCUCCCUUUCCGUGCGAGCGUACACUCGCCAGGCCCAACUCCCCCCUUUCCGUGCGAGCGUACACUCGCCGGAGCUGCAGCGGCGGCAGAGCUCGCUCGCCCAACUAUGCUCAUGGGACGUGACACUGACUGACAUCUAACAGUAAAUUUCAAAGAGGACUACCAUCUAACAGUACAUUUUGUUUAAAAGCUUACCUGAUUCCAUCUCAAACCAGCUCCUACCAGCAAACAUCUUGAGUUGAUGAUAAAGCACAAGCAUCACAAGACCAGAGCAGCAAACAGGCACAGGGCAUGAGCAACAAGGAGCAAGCAGUGCUCAUGGGAACGUUCUGGUUUCUAUUACCGCAAUGUCGAAAUUAUUUCCCCAAAACGACGCGACACCAGGCACAAGGGGGAAGAUCACUCGGCGCCGACAGGAGGCGCUCUUAUUACAUUGAUCGGUCGAUGGCACGAACGCCAGCUCAUUUCGUUUGGGUUUUACACUGAGAGAGGCGUUUGGGCAGCAGCUUCCUCCUCACAAGCUCGACAGGUACGCCUGCCACCCUUGGAUGCGGUACUCCCUGGCCGUCUGCUCGGGGUCGCUCGCCUUGAUGAUCCCGCGCCCCACAAUGAUUAUAUCGCUGCCUCUGUCGUUUAUCACCUGAAGGACACAGCCAGGUUGCAGGUGAGACGCAACAGCAGAUAAUAAGCAGACCUCAACAGUAGAGAAGAACAAACACGAGCUCUGAAAAACUCCCAAAGAAUACCAACAGGAAACAAACAUUUGUUCUCAACCUAUGUGGUGCAUAUUAAACAUUCUCCCAAGGAAAAUGUUAUCCGCGUGAGCAUGAGAAAAAGUAUAGUUAUGCAACUGCAGUAAGAUAGCUAACAUACUCUGGAUUAUCUCAACUUCAUACAAUACUCCAUACCAGCACACGCUAUUUCCAGAAAAUUAUCAACAACCGACAGAUAUUGGUACAUAUGGCCAGUAUAUGAUCCAAAGACACAUGUCACUUUCAAGCUUUGCAAGUUAUUAUAUUAACCAGCAGAUGGCACAAUAACGAAAUUCUGGUGCAGCAUAGUACAUACAGAAGUAAUACUGCCAAGUCAAAAGCUCUACAGAAACUUGAAUGCAUUAACAUAUGUGAAGAAAGCACUUUGUAAUGACAAGGUUGAACUCACAGAAUAAGGAGUGGUGUACUGUUGCCCAAGAGCAUCUCCUCCAGAAACCAUCUGCACUCCAGGGGUGGCAUGGAUAAACGCUGGGCUUGAUGGUGCCACAGACCACGAUGCGGGAUUUACUGAUAUAAAUCCAAUCACAAAAUCAGAAUGUUGCUCAGCAAUCUUUACAGCUGCUGCAGUGUAAUCUCCUUGAGCAAGGUUGCCAGCUGAGCUCAUUUCAGCAAGCAAAAGUAGCCCUCUUCCUUUCGGUAAACCCUUCAACACCACAACACAACAGUUACAGUGAGCACUACAAUACACAAGCUAUUUAAAGCUGCAACAUUAACUUCUAUAAUACUCCUCCAUAAAGAAAUAUAAGAGCGUUUAGAUCACUACUUUAGUGAUCUAUUUACUAUUUAUAUAGGACAUUUAAGGUGCAAUAUACCUUAAGCUUCAAACCAUCAACAAUUCCAGGCCCAGGAAUUACAUGGGCAUUAACAAUAUCAGCCCAUUCUAAUAUGCGGAAUAUUCCUCUGAAAUAAAGUAAAAUGUUAUAAGCAUACUGCAUACAUAUGCAAACAGAAAGAGAAGACGAUUUAUAGUGCCUUUUCUCACCCUUCAUAUUGCAUAGUUACUGUGUUACCAAUGUCCGCAAACUUGCGGUCUUCAAAGAUCAAAAAGUUGUGCUUCUCAGCAAUCUAAAAAGAAAAGUAAAGAGCUCCAUUAUAUAAAGAAUGUGACAUUAAGAAGUCCCAGGUAGGACAACACCUUUUGCAUCCUGGACAGUGAUUGACACGUUGUUACAGUAGAAAACAGCUCUAGCAAUUGAUAAAAUAAAUUUAGGUCCUGGUCAUCAAAAAAUAAAUAAACUAAUCUAAGAGAGUAAAUUGCCUUGGUAUCAUAGUUGGUUACAGGUCGAUUGUUUCCAAAUGAGAGGAAGUGGAGGACAUUCAAAUAACAGUACAUAAUGGAUUAAAUAAAUAGCCUCUAAUAAAUACAAGAAUCAAACAUGCUCCCUAGUCCCUAUCAUAAUAGUAUGGAGAAAGUAAUUCCAUUCAUAGACAUGAAGAUGCUACAUCAGAUUUCUGACAAACAAAAUGGGAAGACUAUUGUGGACACUAACAUUUUACUAGUAAACACAAAGAUCCAAAGGUAUCAUCUGAGAGAAGCAUCACUAUCACUGAAAAGAAAAGACGAGAUUGCAUCAUAAGAGAGCAUACCGAGCGAAGCUUUGUGCCAAAGUCAGGUGUAAAAUCUGACAAGAUAUCGACAUGGGUUUUCAGCAUGCAAAUCUCAGAGCCAACCUGCAUAAAAAUUAUAGAAACAUGGGUUAAACCUUGUGUUAAGGAUAGGUUCUGGUGAUGUCACAACACAGCAGCAUCAAAGCGCAGAAAACAUCAUACAUAAUGCAACUGAAAAGGUUGUUAUGAUGUCACCACUCAUUUGGAAACCACCUAGAUUUGUUUCCUACCUAGUUCAUGCACACCUAGAUUUGUUUCCUACCUAGUUCAGGAGACUCUGCUAACUAACACAAGUCCUGUCUUAAUAUUAACAAAUUCCAGAAAUGGCCAUGUCUAUUCCAGGAUUCCAUCCCAAAAGAUAAUUUAACUUGCUGAAGUAAACAUGGUGAAAUCUAGCCCGGAGAAUUGACCUACACAAAUACUCAACAAACUGUACUGCCAUGCCUUGCUGAAAUGGUCAAUUCUGUCGAUGUCAGAAAGCAUAUAAUUAUAUAACUUGGUGAUUUAGAAGUGCCUAAAUCUAACCCAUCAACUGACCAACACCAAUACACAACAAAUCGUAGUGUGGUAUACCUUUUCGGCAAGCUCAAGGAGCUCCUUGGCUGUCCCAACAUCCGCGGAGACGCAGAGGUUGCUCUGCUUGGCCUCCAUCACCUCGAACAGCUUCUUCCCCAUGGGGUUCUUGGCCAAGCCCGCCCUCUCAGGGAACCCCUUCCUGGCCACCUUGGGCUUGGCGGCGCCCGGCACGGUGACCUUCCUGUUGGCAUCUAAAAACUGCUUCACCUCGGCGGCCUUCUCCUCGGUGACCUUGCCGUGCCGGAGCAGCACGGCGAGCACCUCGGUGAGCGUCAUGAGCGAGUGCAGCGUGACCCCGUUGGCCGCGAGGUUCUCCCUCCCGCCCUGCUCGCGGUCGACGACGACGAAGGCGUCCGCCACGACGAGCCCCUCGGCGCGGAGGGGCGCGGCGGUCUCGAGCACGGAGGCGCCGCUGGUGACGAGGUCCUCGAUGAUGAGCACGGUGUCACCGGCGCGGAAGGAGCCCUCGAUGGCCUUGGCGGUGCCGUGGGUCUUGACCUCCUUGCGGCGCAUGAGCAUGGGGAGGCCGCGGUCGACGGAGAGCACGGAGGCGAUGGGGAGCGCCGUGUAGGGCACCCCGCAGAGGAUGCCGUAGGGGCGGGUGGCCGGGAGGGACGAGAGGAGGGAGGCGAUGGAGGCCAGCAGGCGCGGGUGCGAGACGAGCGCGCGCAGGUCGAGGUAGAUCGGGGAGGUGAUGCCGGAUUUCAGCACGAAGG
rnacentral:lncRNA from 1 species